AAGAAAUCAUACAUUCUUUGGAUAUUCUGGAGAUUCUAAGUGAACAAAUAGCACUUUAAGUAAAGAUGACACCUUUAUUUUGACUCCACGGGCCAAAAGAUGGAUUCAUAAUAAUUUGAAAUUGAAUUUUCAGGAAAUUUCCAUGGGCGUUAUGCAUGAUAUUCAAGCCAAAUCCCCAAUCUUUUUAGCAUGUUUCCAAAGCAGAGAACCGCAAAAUUGAGCAUUAAAUAUAGUUGCUCCCGCCUUAAUCAACCGAAACAAAAUCAUGCGAACAAUCUGUGUCCUUUUUCUGUUUUGUUUUGGACGAUCCUAUCUCUUAUUUUGCUAAGAUUAGUAAGAUCGCAACAACAUCCUGCGUUUGGGCAUAUACCCAUUGACAUCAUUCCCAAACUUCAGACCUAUCAAUCCACAAGAGAAAUCAACUCAAAUGAGUUCCCAUACCUCCUUCGGAAUGAAAGCAGAGUACAAGAAAGGAGAUUAAGCUCGAUGUAGUGACUUAUAACACCCUCAUUCACGCCACCCGGCUUUGGACGAAGAGGACCCGACAUCGCCGUUGGACUCAUCGAGCUCUUGCGCAAGGACUCGACGUCGUCGCGCUCGAACGAAGAUGAAAUUUGGGGAUUCGGCGAAGAAGAAAAAGGACACUCAGAUGAAGAAGAGGAGGAUCGAUGAAUGAGAAGCGGACUCCAUGAACAAGAAGUACACUACGGACGAGAAAGACUGAUGAAGAAGUGACGAGAACUUGAGAAGAAUACUCAAUCAGGGCUUGGAAAUGCUAAGUAAAACCAAUUGUUUCUUAUAAAAUGAGAGAAAAUUUUAAAUAAUAGGCUAUAAGCUAUUCUAUAUAUAUAUAUCCUAUAAAAUGAAGUUUUUCCAAAUAUUUGUGAUAAAAUCUGAACCUCUUACUGCAACUAUGUAACUUUCUCAUAUACAGAAAAAAGGAAAAGCCAAAAAAACGCAGAGAGAGAAAACAUCACAUGCGUCUACUGGUUUUUAAAGUAAGUGAGACCGAGACUUAUUGUAUGAUUGUUUCUUUUUUUAUUUUCCACAAUUAUUAUAAAUCUCCUUAUAGUUGAAUUUAUGUUUGUGAAUGGUUUUGCUGACUCACCUUAUAUUGCUUGAAAUCUUGGACGGAGCCUUCGAAUAUUGUCUUAAGCCCAAGUAAUUUCGGGCAACAACUAAUAAGUAAGUGGCAAUCAUUUGGCAAUUUGGUGGUCGAUACAUCAAUCGGACUUUCCAACAAUGGGUUGCUAAUAAGGGUUAACAGCUCCAAAAACUCCAUCUUGUCAAGGCCCUCGACAAUUCCAAGCACAGGGCAGAAGUCUAUGUGCAAGCACUUGAGAUUCUUUAAUUUUGACAAACCACCAAGACUUUGCAAAUGAUAACCAUAAGGUGUCGUUGUUUGCAACAAUUCUAACGUAUCAACAACUUGAAUACCGAGUAUAUUAUUGCAACACUGUAUGCAGAGUCUCUCCAACUUAUUGAAGACUCUCGAUGCAAAGACUAGUGAAGANNNNNNNNNNNNNNNNNNNNNNNNNNNNNNNNNNNNNNNNNNNNNNNNNNNNNNNNNNNNNNNNNNNNNNNNNNNNNNNNNNNNNNNNNNNNNNNNNNNNNNNNNNNNNNNNNNNNNNNNNNNNNNNNNNNNNNNNNNNNNNNNNNNNNNNNNNNNNNNNNNNNNNNNNNNNNNNNNNNNNNNNNNNNNNNNNNNNNNNNNNNNNNNNNNNNNNNNNNNNNNNNNNNNNNNNNNNNNNNNNNNNNNNNNNNNNNNNNNNNNNNNNNNNNNNNNNNNNNNNNNNNNNNNNNNNNNNNNNNNNNNNNNNNNNNNNNNNNNNNNNNNNNNNNNNNNNNNNNNNNNNNNNNNNNNNNNNNNNNNNNNNNNNNNNNNNNNNNNNNNNNNNNNNNNNNNNNNNNNNNNNNNNNNNNNNNNNNNNNNNNNNNNNNNNNNNNNNNNNNNNNNNNNNNNNNNNNNNNNNNNNNNNNNNNNNNNNNNNNNNNNNNNNNNNNNNNNNNNNNNNNNNNNNNNNNNNNNNNNNNNNNNNNNNNNNNNNNNNNNNNNNNNNNNNNNNNNNNNNNNNNNNNNNNNNNNNNNNNNNNNNNNNNNNNNNNNNNNNNNNNNNNNNNNNNNNNNNNNNNNNNNNNNNNNNNNNNNNNNNNNNNNNNNNNNNNNNNNNNNNNNNNNNNNNNNNNNNNNNNNNNNNNNNNNNNNNNNNNNNNNNNNNNNNNNNNNNNNNNNNNNNNNNNNNNNNNNNNNNNNNNNNNNNNNNNNNNNNNNNNNNNNNNNNNNNNNNNNNNNNNNNNNNNNNNNNNNNNNNNNNNNNNNNNNNNNNNNNNNNNNNNNNNNNNNNNNNNNNNNNNNNNNNNNNNNNNNNNNNNNNNNNNNNNNNNNNNNNNNNNNNNNNNNNNNNNNNNNNNNNNNNNNNNNNNNNNNNNNNNNNNNNNNNNNNNNNNNNNNNNNNNNNNNNNNNNNNNNNNNNNNNNNNNNNNNNNNNNNNNNNNNNNNNNNNNNNNNNNNNNNNNNNNNNNNNNNNNNNNNNNNNNNNNNNNNNNNNNNNNNNNNNNNNNNNNNNNNNNNNNNNNNNNNNNNNNNNNNNNNNNNNNNNNNNNNNNNNNNNNNNNNNNNNNNNNNNNNNNNNNNNNNNNNNNNNNNNNNNNNNNNNNNNNNNNNNNNNNNNNNNNNNNNNNNNNNNNNNNNNNNNNNNNNNNNNNNNNNNNNNNNNNNNNNNNNNNNNNNNNNNNNNNNNNNNNNNNNNNNNNNNNNNNNNNNNNNNNNNNNNNNNNNNNNNNNNNNNNNNNNNNNNNNNNNNNNNNNNNNNNNNNNNNNNNNNNNNNNNNNNNNNNNNNNNNNNNNNNNNNNNNNNNNNNNNNNNNNNNNNNNNNNNNNNNNNNNNNNNNNNNNNNNNNNNNNNNNNNNNNNNNNNNNNNNNNNNNNNNNNNNNNNNNNNNNNNNNNNNNNNNNNNNNNNNNNNNNNNNNNNNNNNNNNNNNNNNNNNNNNNNNNNNNNNNNNNNNNNNNNNNNNNNNNNNNNNNNNNNAAGUUGAGUAAGGGAAGCUAACUCAGUGGGAGCAGGAACAUGGAGGAGACACAAGCUUAAUUUUUUUAGUUUGGAUAACCCCUGAUCGACUCUAAAUCACCCAAUAUAAGUUCCAUCACGUUCGUCAAUUUUUUUGGAGCCGUCAUCUAGUUUCAACCUAACCAAAUUAGUCAAGUUUGAGAGGUCCGGCAACUCUCGGAUUUCAUCAAACCCUUUUAACAAGCCAAUUUCAGAAGGAAGUUGACUUUUCAAAUUUCCUUCAACCUGAAGCGGUUUCAGAUUCUCAAACUUUCCGAUGGCACUCGGUGACUCCACUGGAUGUGCAAUUGAAAGCUGCAACUUCCGCAAUGAUUUCCACUUAAAUAUGAAAUCCGGUAAUUCCUUCAUUGCACAACAAGAUCGUAAAGAGAAGUGCUCUAGAUUCUGUAGGUCCCUGAUUUUUUCAGGCAAACCUUCAAGGCGAAUGCAAAGAUCAAACUUUAAAUCUUUCAGAUCCUUUAACUUCCCAAUAGAGCCAUCAAUCUUCGUUAAGCCGUCGCAAGCGAAAAAUGUCAGCCUCUCUAAUUUUGAGCAUUCAGAUAAGUCUGGUGUUCUAGUUAUGCCAUGACAUUUAGCAAGACUAAGAACUUUCAAUUUUGUUGUCCCCUGUAAAAAGUGAAUGCAUUAUCCAAUGGAAGAGCAAUUCAAACGUUCAUUUUAAGGACAAAGAAAGGAAAUAAGCAUAUGACGCACCUUUAUUAACUGCAAUAAUUUCUGAUCGUCUAUACCGUGAACGAAUGAAAAGUCAAGGACAACCACAUUCUUGAAGCACAUAUUGGUCAGCUCACACUCUGAAAACAGAGAAUCUCUCAAAUGAAUCCAUUUUAGUUUGGGAAAACAAUCCAUUAGAUCGCCAACAAAGUUUCCUCCAUUUAAUCUAAGGAACCUUAGUUCUUUAAACCUUCCAAUCUCUUCACUUUUGAUACAUAUGCUUUUUUGAGUUACUUCCAUCGCUUGAACUUUCUUCAUCUCCAAAUAGCCAAGCAAGGAUCCUCCAUUUAAUCUAAGCAAUUCUUUAAAACUUCCAAUUUCUUCACUUUCGUGAGUUACUUCCAUCGCUUGAACUUUCUUCAUCUGCAAACGAGAACAAGAAAGGAGUAGCAUUCAGCAUUCCAUUUUAUUGAGGAAAAGUAUUAAAACCAAGAAGCAAAAAGAGAAUCUAUUAGUUCUCUCAUUAAGUGUUCCACCUCCUUUGUCUUCAUUGUAGUGAGGACUUCAUCUUGAAUCCAUAACCUACUACGCCCUUCAGGAAUUGUUCGAUUUUCUUGACGAACAAUUUCCCUUCCAAGACCUCCAAGUUGAUCGUGCAUCCAAAACUCAUUGUCGUUUACAAUCUUUAUCAAGGACUUGCUUUUGAGGACCUCAAUUCCACGGAUUGGGGAAAAACCACAAUCUGUCCACAUAUAAAUUGGGUUUGUCAUUAUCUCACCAAUGAAAAAGCAUGCAAUAUCCAGAAAAAUUUGUUGCUGCUCAAAAGUCAAUGCUUUAUAGCUAAUCCUCAACUUUUCGAAAACACUCUCUGGAGGUGCUUUGCGUAAAUCGUCCAAUGUUUCUUUCCAUAGGUCUUGUGUUCCAUGGUUCAGAAGUGAACCAAUUACUACAAUAGUCAAAGGAAGGCUUCCAGUAGCAAAUACAAUUUCCUUUGAAAUAUCAUCGCGAUCAUCUGGAGGAGAGUCCUUGUUAAACGCAUGUCUGCUGAAGAGCUGAAGUGCAUGAUCACUACUCAUCAUCUUCAUUUCAUAAGGUAAUAUACUGUACUUCAGUUGAGAGCCUUGCAAAAUAUCCUUGUUUCUAGUAGUAAUCAAUACUCUAGACCCUGAACACAAAGCACCUGUUCCAACUAAUUUCUCCACUUGUUCCCUUUCAUCAACAUCAUCCAAUACAAUGAAGACCUUCAUAUUGCAAAGUGUUUCUUCGAUCCUCUUCUUUCCAUAUUCAAUUGCAUCGAUGCAUUCUAUUCCUGCGGCACUUGCUAUUUCAGAUAAUAACUUCUUUUGCAAUUCAACUAAGCCAUCCAAUCUUGACGACUUUUCUCGAAUAUCUUCAAGAAAGGAGCAACGCUUUCCAAAGUGGGUAGAAAGUUCAUUAAACACGACAUUGGCAAGAGUUGUUUUACCGAUACCCCCCAUGCCAUGAAUUUGAACGAGCCGUCCACCUCUAGAGCCUACGUCUAACAAAUUUUUUACUGCUACCACUUGAUCAUCGAUUCUAAUUAAAUGUUCAGUCACAGACUUUUGCUUUGUCUUCAACUUCUUCACAACCUCGUCAACAACCAACUUAAUGAGUUCCCCCUGGCUGCCAUGAAGGAAAACCAUUUCAAUAGGGGAAAAUUGCAGGGAAGAAAAAAAAAAUCUAAAUUUCAUUCGUGAUACGAUUCCAUCAGACUUCGACGGAAUCUCCUUUUUAUUUUGUUCGUUUCCUAGCAGUUGAUGUUAUUCAAUUACGUUUGCUUAACUGCGCAAUAAUUCAAUAACCAAUAUGACAUCAACAAUCAAGACGUUUCUUCUCAAAUUUUGUACUGAAUGUAAGGUUUUCUUAGUUAUCACUUUUGAUAACUUAACAUUUGUAAUUUGAUGUGUUGCGCAAACCUUGUGUACUUGAUCUUGUAAAAUUCCAAAAUAACACCAAGCAUGCAUAAAACAAAUAUUUUGACUAGAAUGAUGUAAUUGACCUUAAAGGAUUUCAGAUUUGAUUUUUCUAGCUAAUUCUAUGAACCAUAAAAAAUAUGAAUCUACAUCACUUUCAAAGGCACUUUUCAUUCACAUUGCUAGGUGCCACGAGUUGCAUUGUGUCAUAAUGAAAAUUGACAAUCCCAACAUGUGAUUAGCAAUCCUCAAAUUAUGUUAAUCUUCUUUGUGCAAGAUGAAUGUACAAAUAUUUAUGCAUUGCGAAUUAGAAUUUUAUCAGUUAUAUUCAUGGGACAACCUUAGAAGUGGUACAUAAUAUGUUCAGGAGGAGAAAUGUUUGAUGCAUUAAUUGAAAGAUCAAAUUAUUAGACAGGAACGUGCAUGGUAUUCAUUUAUUCCACUUUGUCACCCAUAGUUCACAUUUUAUUUUACACGCAUACCAUUUAGUAUUACCUGUGGAAGUCCCACCUCAAAUGUUGUGAUAUAUCUCUAUUACUAAGUUUUGAGCAGUAGUUCUAGAAGCAUUAGAAUUUUACUAAGAGUUGCUUACUAAAUGACAGAAGUGAAAAAGGAAACAAAAUUCAUACAGACCAUCAAAGAAAGGAAAAAAUGAGCGUUUGUUUCUAUUUUUAUUUCUUCAUUAAAAAUAGACAUAUAUGAUAGUGCUUCUAGUGAAAUCAAGAACACUAAUAUUUUUAGUAGCUCUAGCAUGAUUCUUAUGUUUUUGGAUUCUCUUCUCCUACAUUUAGUAUGUUCCUUCUUUCUAUGAAUUAUAUACUUAGUUUUUGCAAUCAGGAAAAAGAAAUUAGGGAAAAUAGGGAUCUUAGAAUGCAGAAAGCUCACCCUUUGUAUUUCUUGACUUCCCACCCCUUUAUUGCAUCAACCUCUUUCAAAGCCUCUCUCCAGGAAUCUACUUGUUCAGUGCUCAAGUUCUUCUCACGCUCCAAGUUGAGUAUGGCAUCGCGAUACAAUGGAGUUUUCAGCUUAACAUCGUUGGGUUCCACGUCAAAGAAAAUAGGCAGGAUCUCUUUAUGCCCGCUGGACUUGGAAGCGUUCUCCAUAAUCUGUGCGAGCUCGCACAGACACCAUUGGCUUGAAGCGUAAGUUCGAGAGAAGAUGGGGAUGUAGAUCCCAGAGUUGUCGAUUGCUCUCGGGAGCGCUCCAUCAAUUCUUUCACCAAUAGGGAGCUCUUCAUCAUCUCGAAAGACACAGAUGCCGGCAUUGGUCAAGCUAUGGUAGAGGAAGUCGGUAAAUCCAUCACGAGUGUCGGGUCCUCUAAAGUUCAGGAACACUUGAUACUCGCUUCCUGACGAUGUUCCUGCCUCUGAGCUCCCCAUUUUAAACUUUAGCUUUAGCAGCUCUCUUCCACCCUCCCUCGUGGGUGAACAAGAUAGGCCUUCGCCCUUGGCUGAUCGAAGGUCUCAACCACAAACAUAUCGCGUAAAUAUAUCAUGAAUGAGAUUACCAAUGAUCAGAGAAAAGCAUAAAAAAUACCAUCGCAGACUAUUAUAUAAUUUUUUUUUUUUGGUAAAGCAGAUUUUUAUAUAAAUUCAGCUACAGAAUAACAAAAAAGAAGCACGUAUGUAAAUUCCCGCAUUAUAUUCAAACUCCCAAUGAUCCAUAUCAUUUGUAAGUCAAAGUUUUGGAAAGGUUGAGAUUAUCCUGCAAUCUUUUCAUAAAUCCACUUGUCUAUUCUUGUUAAGAAGUUGAUCAGGGAGACUUCGGUCCAAUUAUACAGGAAGGAACGCAAAAAAAUACAAAUGGGUAUAUCAGUCCCGACGAUCAGAUCCGUCCUCGAUCGUGGACAACCGCGCUCAUUCAGAGCAAGGUUUUCAUGAAACCGAACUCUUCAAGGCAAAUCCAGAACAAGUCAGAAGAGAAUCGUACCGUGUUCGUGGUCACUGCUGCUGGGAAAGGGCUUCGUGAAGAUGAAUAUCGAUGGCUCCUGGUCCUGGCUAGCCGAUUCGUCGGAGGGGUUCGUUGCCGGAGUCGCUCGGGACGACCGGGGGACGUCGAUCGCUGGGUUUGAGAAGAAGAUCGUGGCCUCCUCUCCCCUGCAAACGGAAAAACUAGCCCUCAAAGAAGUGUUUGUCGGUGGCUGUGCGAGGAAAGGAAGCUCGAAGACUUUUAAGUCUUCCAAGCGAUCUGAGAGUGCCUUCCAGCUGUAUGUACGGUGCAUGGGCCCCCCGGUGUUUCAUUUUAGACAAUUGAAUUUUCUCAAAUUGUUUCUUGUCGUGAACAAAAAGUGUUUGCGGCAAAAUAAUAGUUGCUAAGGAAAAAAAAUGCCUAGGACACGGAAUUGAUCUUAAAGAACUAUUCCUACAGCACCUAACCAAAUCCACCUACGUUAGGAGAAAUAAUAUCAAAUGAGUAAUAAAUUUUAUUGUACAUAUAUUAAUUCAGUAAUAUUUUUUUUUACUAAUAUAACUUUAAACCUUAGUACAAAAAAUUCUAAACAAAGCCUACUGCGAUAUAUUUAUCUUAAAUUUUUUAUGACAUCAAAAAUUCCAAAUUUAUAUUUAUUUCACACAUUAUAUUUAUCCCAAAUUUCUUCUUGUGACACUAAAAAUUUCAAACUUGUAUAUAUGUAAUAGACUUAUCCUAAAAAUAUGGUGUCGCGUAAAAAUUUAGAGUUUUUAAUGCCAGAAAAAAAAGAUUUGAUAUAAAUGUAUCACCCUAUGACACAUAAUUUAGAAAUUAUCUGUAAAAUUUCUAUGCAUAGAGUAGCUUGCUUGAUGUGUCAACCGUUAUCAGGCACAAUACUUCAAUGCGAACCUAAGAAGGACAAUAAUGCACUCGAAAAGGGUAAAAAGAAACACCAAAGAAACACUCCAUGUGCAUACUUUAUGGAAGUGAAGCAAAAGCAAUAGUCGACAAAAAGUUGAAGGGAGGCAUGAAGUUUCUAAAAAAUGCCAAACAACUUUAUAGAAACUGGGUCGAAAGGUGCCCUUGCUUUUCCUAAAAUAAAUACAUAAAAAUAAAAACCAACCUGCCUUUUGAGGCAAGCACAUAAAAUUCUCUAUGGAGGCUUGUUCCAUUUUUCAAUUCUAACCAUUAGAAAGGGCAUCCGGAAAACACAAACAUAAUUCAAGGAGGUGGCUUAUAUUUUGCAUAUAUCUCUGUGCGUGCAUAUGAUUUAGGCAAUGGGAUUAUAUCACGAAUCAUGAAAUUGAUUGGAUACUCUUAAUUACUCAAUACUCAAUAUCAAUAGGAAACAACAUACAACCUAUUUUCUAUAUAUCUCAAAGUGUAUUAAGAAUUUUGAUUCAAGCUUAGCUCCCUACAUUUUCUAGCACAAGUUGAUCUCUUUGAAAGGGAUUAAAAUGAUGACUAUAUAUGUGCAAACACUUUAGAAUCUUCAAAAGAGCGGAAGAAAGAAUAUAGUCAAGAGCGGAAGAAAGAAUAUAGUCAAGGGCUAUAUCUUAAGAAGGAACAAGCUUAGCUCGUGAUUAUUCCCUUUAGUCGAUCUACAUCUCUGAUUGGAGAUAAAAUCUCUCAUUUUCCAUAAGCGUAUUGAAUCGACAUAGAAGGAGAAAAAUAAAUGAAGUGCAGGCUGUGUUGAUGUCAUGACGAUUGUAAGUGGGGGCAGUUCCGCUGUUUUCAAACUCUCAAGCAACCCUCAUCAACGGUUCCACACCCUACGAAUUUCUUUUUUUCUUCAAUUUUUGUCUCCUUUUAUUUAGGUUUUCUCUGAUUUUUUAAAUAAUUUCUUUGGUCUUUCUUCGCCUCAUUAGCACCAAUGUAGAAAGAAAUUACAAAGCGCCACAUCCAAUUUUGGAAUCUAUGUUAGCAAAUUUGGUUAUGAGUCUGUCAUAAAGAUUAAAUUGUACCCAACAAAAAACGUUUAGGACUUGAUUGCACACAUUCAAAAUUUGGGACUUGACUGCAUAUUCGGCCAAACAUUAUGGACUUUUUGGUGUGAUUUUCAUUUAUAAGAACCUAAAAUGAGAAUCAGCAUAGUGGAUAGUAAAUAUUUUUAUAAGAUAAUAACAAAUGAGGGUUACUCAAAUAAAAAUUUAUAGUUUGAUUCCCAUCCUACAUUAAUCUCUCCCACCGAGAAGAGCUCUACUAUUGACUGGUUUUCCCAUGCAUCUCUUGUCUUGAUUUGGCAUGUCCUUCCACAGCUGUCGAAUAAACUUGUAGAUUAGCAGCAAAAAUAGCAUAUUGGUUGUGAGGACAAACUUUCACGCCAACAAGCGCAAGGAGAGGGAAAUCGCGUGGAGUGGGGUCGCUGUUCCAGCCAUGCGUGUGUAAUGAACACGUGAAAGUUCAACUCUAUCUCCUUGUGAAAUCCCCCAUGUAAACGCAAAAAAAAUUGAAAACGCGUGGCACGACUCUAUUAUAUGUUGGCAAAAGCAAAAGGGGAAAGACUCGUGCAUGAUUUUUAUCUCUUUAGUGUUUUUCCACAACUUUUUGUUUGUCAUUUUGACAAUUCAACUCAAUUGUAAGUCAAUGAAGGAUACAUAAAAGAAAAGGAGAGGAAAGAGACACGAAGAGGACAAGAGACUUUUGCAAUGAGGUCGAAACUUUAUGGGGCUUCUGAGUUGAUGGGAUGUUAAGUUGAAAAUGAGAGAAAUUGAGUCGGAAGGUACCUGUGCCUGUCCUAAAGGAUAAAAAUUAAAUUAUCUUUUGAGUCAAGCACAUAAAUUUCUCUGGUGGGUUGUCCCAUUUUUCAACUUCAAUUAUGCAAAAGGCAUCUUGAAAACACAAACAUAAUCGUUGAGAAGUGCCACAGAAGUGAUCUAAGGUAUUUGGACUAUAUCACGACUCAUUGAAUUGGUUGCAUGUACAAAGCAUCAAAUAUUCAAUAAGAAAAAAAAAAACAAAACCUCUUUUUGUAUAUCUCUGUGCGUGCGUAUAAUUUGUUUCAUGUUUAGCUCUCUCCAUUUUUUAGUAUAAGCUAAGCCAACGAAUCAUAAAAUAUUAAUGAAAUAUAUAACUUACAAUUUAAUAUAGCUGAGCCUCACAAUAAAGGAAAUUAAAAUGCCUAGGUUCGACAAACUGAUCAUCCGUUUAAAAAUAGGACUCGCGCGUAAACCAAUUUGGUGGAAAAUUUCUAUGCGAUAUAAUCAGUUAUUUCAGCUCUAAUACCAAAUAAUUCGAGACAAUAAGGAGAAGAAGUGAAUCAGAAGCGGAAAGGGGAUGCCAAGAUCAAAAUUGACAACAAAGAAGAGAAAGAAAUUGAUUUGUGAAAUUGAUUGAUGCUCUCAAAAAAAUCAGAUACUCAAUAUCAAACAACAUAAAACUUUUUUUUAAAUAUAUCUCCAUGUCUGCAUAUAAUUUGGUUCAACUUUAGCUCUAUCCAUUUUUUGGCAUAAGUUGAUUUAUUUGAAAGGGGAUAAAAUGCCGACUAUAUACGUAUAAAUAGUUUAAAAUGAGAGAGAGAGAGAGAGAGAGAGAGAGAGAGAGUAGACAAAAACUACAUCUUUAGGAGGAAUAAGCCUUAGGCCCCGUUUGGUUCGGCAUUUAGAAGGGGCUUUUGGCCUCUAAAGGGGUUUGGGCAAAAGCGGAUGGUGUUUGGUUCAACAUUUUGGGGACUUUGGAGAGAUGCAAUUGCAUCUCCAAGGGGCUUGAAGGGGCUUUAGGGGAAUAGAGGGGGAGAGGUCCAUUGGGAAGUUGCAUUUUCGGAAUGCAACUUCUACUGUUCAUCUUCACCGGAGAGAAGCCGAUUGGAGGCCGACGACCGCCGGCCAAGGGGUCGCGCGCGCCGGCAAUGCGCCGGCGACCGCCAGCCAAGGGGUCCCCCGACCCCGGCGACCGUCGCCGGACCUCAGGCGACGCCUGGGUCGCACGAACCAGGCGGCUGUCGCCUGAAUCGCCCGACCCAGGCGGCCGCCUGAGGUCGCGCGACCCAGGUGGCCAAAUCCGGCCAUUCGGCGGUCCGGCCGCCAAAUCCGACGGUCCGGUGGCCGAACUUCAAAAAAAAAUAAGACAAAUGCUUUUUUGUUUUUUUAAUUUAAUAAAAGUCAUUUACAAAUGUAAAUUUUACCAAACGGUAUUUUGACCAAAGUUGCAUCUCCAUGCAAAUUUUACCAAACGAUAUUUGCAUUUCGGAAAACCCCAUUCACCCAAAGGUAUUUGCAUUUUGGCAAAUGCAUUCCCCAAAAGCCGAACCAAACGGGCCCUUACUCGUGAUUACUCCCUUCAAUCGGUCUACAUCCCUAAUUCGAGGUAAAAUAUUUUAUUUUUCAUAAGCUCUUUGAAUCGACAUAACAUUCUAAAAAAUCAAGCUAUAUGAUUUAAUAUUUUACAGGCUUGUGGCAACUAAAAUGAAUAGGAUGAUGAGGACAAAGAAAAAGAUGUGUAGGCUCUGCUCAUGGACAUUAUAGUGGGGGCAGUUCUGUCGUCUCCAAACCCUCUAACAGCCCUCACCAAUGGUUCCACUCUCUAUGACUUUCAGUUUUAUCUAGUCUUUGUAUUUUUUUCUCCAAUUUUUAAAUUUUUUUAAUUUUCCUAACGUGGGGCCACAUCAGCACGACAUCAGAGCCAUGUAUGUUAAAAGAAACUACAAAAUGCCAAGUCGGAUUUUGGCAUUUAUGUUAGCAAAUUUGACCAUGAGUUUGCCAGCAAGAUUAUAUUGCACUCAAUGAAAACCGUUUAGGAUUUAUUUGCAUAAAUUCAAAAUUUAGGAUUUGAUUGCAUAUUCGAUCAAAUGUUCUGAACUUUUGGUGUUUCACUUACAAAAGCCGAAAACGAGAAUCUAGAAAGAUAAGAAAAUUUCACUUAUAAGUACCAAUUAUUAAGAUAAAAAUUCUAGUUUAAUUCGCAUCUUAUAUUGGUCUCGCCAACUGAGAAAAACUCUGCUAUUGACAAGUUUCCCAAUGCAUCUCUUUUCUUGAUUUGGCUUAUCCUCCCCCAACUUUAGAAUAAUAAACUUGUAGAUUAGCAGCUAAAAUAGCACAUUGGCUGUGAGGACAAAUUUUCACACCGACAAGCGGCUGGCACAAAAUCUAUAUGGUACAAUAUGUGUUCUUGGUUGUAAUGUUCCAUCAGUUAAGCGAGAUUGACAAUUUUCUCAUUGAUUUGACUCACUAACCCUUGCAAAACUUCCGAACCAAAAAAGAAAGAAGAAAAAAACUCUUGCAAAACAUGAACAUGGCGCACCCAUUUCUUUAACUUUUUGUCAUCAUAAGACUCACUAAAACCAUAUUACAGUUGAAAAAACCUUCAACACAAUUUAGUCAGUGCUUUUGGCUCUAAAAUUAAAUAAUGCAGGAUGAAUAUAGUUCUAAUACCAAUUGAUGAAGAACGUAACUAGAAGGAGAAGAAGAAGGAGAAGACGUCAAGAUUGGUAAUGGAUAGAAGAGAAUAGAAAUAUAGGAGAGAACACAAAAAUCAAUAUUAAUUUAAUAUUCAAUCAGUCUCUUGUUUUAAUUGUGAUCACAAAGCUAGCUUUGGAGGAUAUUGGAUAUCAUACAUGUUUCUCGUCCAUGAUUGUCCAUGUUUAAACCUAUUAUGUUGAUAGAUAAGUCUCCCAUAAGCUCAAAUUAGUACAAGACGAUUUAAAAUUGUGCAAGGUUAGCAAGCCGCCGUCAAGACGGACAAUAACACUAGCAUCAGCCGAAUGGGACUGCCUAGUAGUCCAAAUCAAAGUUUUAUCCCCCUCAAAACAAGAUCAAAUUGAAUCGAUCUGAGAGAUGGCACAGUUUUUACACACAUGAUUAAAAUGUAAGAGAUAAAAUGCAAGGGAUAAAAUAAUGCCAAUUUCUUUGGCUGUAAAAGUAAUAAUAGGCCACUUUAGUCAAGCCAUGUCCAAGUAAUAAACACACGAAGCUUUCGCUCAACUCCUCGUGAAAGCCCCACGUAAAUGCAAAGAAAGUGAAAUGGGUGGCUCGAUUCCAUUAUAUGUUGGAAGAAGAAAAAGGGGAGGCACGUUUCUAACAUUAUCUUUCGUGUUUUUCCACAGCCUUUCUUUUUGACAAUUCAACUCAAUUGCGAGCAAGGGAUGAAGUAUACAUAUAAAAUAAGAAAGGAAAGAGACACGAAGAGGGCAGGAGACUCUUGCAAUGGCGUCGAAACUUUUUGAGGCUUCUUAGUUGCAAGGAUGUUAAGCAGUAAAUGAGAGGAAAUUGUGGGGGCAAGUAAACACAAUGAUUUUGUGUUCUCUUUUGUAACCAACCAUGACCUAAGUCCACUCUAUUUGGUUUUCUAUAUUUGCAAGACAAACUUUAAAGUAUUUAAUUGCUGGAAGCUAGAUUUCACUUGAUCUAGUAACAUCUAUUCAUAUAUCCUGACAGAAGAUUCAAAAUAUGACAAGAUAAGAGUUAUAUUUUCCUUCGUGAAUGGAGGAAAUUUUCUCCAGCUAUGCCUCUUAUUAUUAGGUUAUAAGUCAUGGAUAUCCCUCAUAUGGAAACUAAACUAAAUAGGAAUGCAGGUGAUGUCUAUAUUUUUCACUCACCAAUCAGAGGUAUGAUUUCCUCCAACUAUGGACACAUGAAAAACAUGGCUUUAAUAAUAGUGUACAGCAAUUUAUUGCCGUAAUUAUGUAUCUAUCUCCACAUUAUGAAAUGGCAUCAGUCAUACCUACAAUAAUAGAUAGUAUGUGGCCCAUCUCUAUUUUCCGUAAGAGUCAUUAUAUGUGAAUGUUUCACAUCUCUAGCAAUGUUUUUCAAUUUUCUAGUUGAUUCCACUUGUCCUAGAGCCUCAAAAAGGACUUGAGUCAAUUCUUCAGUAUCACUCUUUAAAAAUUAUUCAACAUGAUUGUAUUCUUGCGACUAUUUUAAUGAUGACAAAUAAUUAGAAGGCUAACAAUAUGUACAUUUGGAGUGGCAUGUUGAUGAAACAUCAAAUGUUUUGACAAACCUCAAUAUUGGAGAAGGUAAACAAAUUACAUGACAUUGUAUCGCGGCCAAAGAGUUUUGAAUGUAGAUUUGUAAGGACCUUGGUACAAGUAGUGAAUACACAACGGCACCAAAUAUUGUCAAGUUAUCUGAGCGAAACUAUAGGCAGAAAGUGGACAAUCUACAAGAGAUGAUGGACUUCUAUAACUAGAUUUUGAGUGUCUACAUGCUUGAUGAAAAAACUCAUCUUAAAAAUUUGAUUUGAAUUCAAAUUGGUAAUUUGUAGUAGGAUCAAGGCAACGGAAUAUAAGGAAAAUAGGUAGGUUAGAGAAGAUGGAUUAGAUCUUAAUUUCAAGAAGUGUCCCGGGAAAAAAUGUAAAUUGCAUUGAGAGUGAUAUUAUAUUGAAAGGAAAUACACGGAAUUGGAAAUUGACAUCACUGAAAGGACAUUGCACAGAGAUAAAAGUGCAUGAAAACGAAAAUAGAAGGAAAUUGAAAGCACAAACUCGGUGUGAGUCUUCAUGUUGUUUGUGAGUGUCCAAGAUUAGUCGAGUCCACCUUAUUUUUCUCUAGCUCCCGCACUUCACAUGUUCGGUAACUUCUUAUGUCUUCAUGUUUGAUAAAUUCAUUCAACCUAGUUUGGUCAAAUUCAUACAUGACAUGGUUAAAAUGGACACUCGUUAAUGGUCGCCCAUAGCACCGGAUUGCAACUUAGUCUAAGUGCAAAUAAAGAUAAGAUGAAUUAUGUAUAAACCCAAGUGAUGAACUAGGUUUAGAUAAAAGUAACUAGACCAAAGAUAUGGAACUCUUAUCCAUCAACCAGAAUUUUUGCUUGGUGAGUUACAUGUUAGGCCGUCAUUGACAUGCAAACUUAACAAAAAUUAAAUGUUGGUGAUAUUUAUGUUGGUAACCUAUUAAUCAAAAGACUAACUAGAGAAAAUGUCCUUUUUUGAAGGGAACAUAAAUCAAGUGAAAAAUCUUGAUAAUGAUUAUCACGUUUUGUUAUAGUAAUUAUAUCAUAGACAAACGACUGUAUAUACACUUCUUGGUGAGAAAAUCCUCAAAAUCUCCCGUUAUUCUACAAUCACGCUUGGGUUCGAGUAUGAGCCCGGAAGCUCUUUGCUUAUUGAUGACCAAAAUGUAAACUGGGCCAAUAAUCCUUACCCGGAAGCUCUGGACUUUGUUAGGUUUGAGCCGUUAUUUGGAUUGCACCAAACAUACGUGAUUUCUUCCUUUUUCAGCCCAUGGAGAUCACGUUGAUAUUCAAUUUAGCGUGUUCAAAAUUUGAGACACCAUCCGUAGGUGGAGCGUAUGUCAGACGAAUAGAAGGGACGAUAUAGUUAGAGGCAUCCUACCAAGCAUGGCCUCAUGUCGGGACCUUACUCAGCAGGGUUACACAUGUAUUAAAAUAAAAAUGAGUUUAUUGUUUUCAUACUAAGUGUGGAUAAUAUGCACAUCUUAUUGAUUUCGAGAUUUUUUUUUUUUUUUGGUACUGUGAAAAGAUGUAAAACAUUCGAGGUCGAUUAAUCUAUAAUCGUAAAUCAUGAAGGAGCAAACACCAAGUGGGGUUGGCGAGGGUCAUCAGCUCCUUUGAGCGUUCUGUAUUUACUGCAAUUUGAAGGACCUAAUUGCAAAUAGUGAAUAGAUCAUGGGGCAAGGGCCAGAAAGUGAACAAUCUACCAGACAUAAUGGAUGGCUCUAUUGCAGAAGAGCAUCUAUAGACUUGGUGAGAAGACUCGGCUUCAAAAUAAAAUGAAGUUAAAGCUUUAUAAUCCAUGGAAAGUAGGAUCAAGGCUUUAAAUCCAUUGAAAGCAGGCCAGAGAGAAAUCGAUUGGCUUUUGCCUUUUUCAGGGUAAGUAUGGAAGGCAACGGUGAAUGCCAAAAGCAAAGAAACUAUUUUACUUGGAAUACAGCCAUCGGAAAAAUUUGAAUUUACAAGGUCACUUGGAAUUCAUGACCAAAAAAAAAAAAAAAAUUCUCAACAUGGUUCAAGUAGGACCCAACAAUAAUCCCCAAAAAAAAUUAUUUUUAUCCGGUCCCAUUACUUUGGAAUAAACAUCGCCCUCAUCGAUUCGUCAGUCAUCGGAAUUUGUGACUUGUUUUACUUUUGGGAAAAUUAUCCAAUUAGUUGUAAACUUAUCAUAUAAAUUAUAAUUUAGUCGUAAACUUUUUAAUUUUGUCAAUUAAUGUUAAACUUUUGUUCAAAAUUCCCAUAGUUGUUUCGAUCAAUUUUUGCUGAAAAUUGCCCUAUGUCGGCAAUUUCAAAUGAGGUGUGCACUUCCUUUAUUCAUCAGGGACAAACUUAACCUUAUCACUCAUUGACCUUCAUACACCUCGCUAUCAAAAGAGUUGGCAAUGAUUAAAAGAAAGUUUCUUAUAACAUUAAAAUCCUUCUUAUCCUAAACAUUGUCAAUUCCAACCUUUCAUCCACCUUUUGACUAAUUAGAAGGAGCUUGGAAUUUUAUAUGCUCUUUUUACAUUAAAUUGCCUUCAAAUAAGUAUAUAAGUUCGGAGUUUUUGGUAGUAAACAAAAAUUAAUUUAUAAUAAAUUUGUUAUAAAUAUCAAUUUUGGGGUUUUACGUAAUAUAACUCUUUACCAUUUAGGGUUUUUGUGAUAUGGUGACAAGUGUCACUAUCUCACGGGUGAAAGUAUAAAAGUACGUAUUAUCCUUGUGUGACUAAUGGCAAGCUCACAAUGGUAGGGAUUUGGGUCAAUGAGAAGGUGCCAUGUCGGGUGAGAAUUUCAAGCUAUAGAAAGAAAGGUGUGAUAUGAGGUCGAAUUAGGCCCAGCUCUAUCUGAGCUCUAUCCGACUGGGCCUAAUAAGUCGGCUCCAUCUCGGUUAAAUUGGGUUAACCAAAGUCUUUAUAGUCUUUCAUAAUUAACAAAAUCUUUCAUAAUUAACAAAUUUUUUUGGCUACGUUUGGUCGUCCGGAUUUCUAAUCGGGAUAGGAUUGGAUAGGAUAGGAUAUGAAAUCCUAGGAUUUUUUUAUGUCCUGUCCAAUGUUUGGUGAAUCACAGUAUUAAAGUCGGAUAUGUUCACAUCAUAUACAUUUUUAUUUUUAUUUUUAUAUAAACGACAUAUCAUUAUAAAUGAACAUAAAUGUUCAUAAAUGAAGAUGGUGAAAAUAUCUCGUAACACUAUUCCUUAAUUUAUUUAUUAUUUAUUAUUUAUUAUAUUUUUCCUCUUUUUUAUAUUAUUUUCAUUAUUAUUUCAUUUUUCCCUUUCAUCUUCUUUAAUAAAAAUUUAUCAAAUAGUAAACUAUACUAACAUAUUUAAAAUAAAAAAAUACCUAAAAUAUAUAAUAAAUAUAAAUAUUUAAUUUAUAGAUUGAAUUUUUAUUAUAAAAUAGAAUUAAAAUAAGAUUAAUUAAAAAUAAUUUUUUAUUUUUAUUUUCUUAAAUUAGAAUUCAAAUAUUAUUUAUAUUGAAAUAUAAUUUCAAUUUUGUUAAUUUAAUAAAUUUGUUAUUAAAAAAAAAUAACUUUCCUAUUAUGGACGUUAGAAAUCCUAUCCACCUUUAUCCCACCCCCCAUGGGAUAAUUUUAUCCUGUUUGUAUCCCCCUUAUAUCCGACUUUAUCCUAUCCUGAGUGAGCACCAAACGUAAGAUAGGAUAAAUUAUAUUAUAUCCCGAAUUUUAUCCUGACUGCCAAACGCAGCCUAAUAGUCUUUCAUAAUUAACAAAAUCUUUCAUAAUUAACAAAUUUUUUUGAGAUACCAGUUAGGAAAAUUCAUAUGUCAACACUACUUACAUAUAUUUAGGGAAGUUUCUUGAAAAAAAUCAAAUGUCGUAUAUAUAUCGAGAGAUUAUUUGAUGGGUGUAUUAUAUAUACUAAAUUGUAAUCGAAUCAUCUGUGGUCAUGAGAUCCACGAGGGUUGACGUGAGACGUACCAAAUCUUGCCGUUUCGAUGCAGUUUGAUAUUUGUGACACUCACCCAAUGCCCGCCCCUCCUAGAUAAGAAGGCAAUACAAAAAAAUCUCAGGCUAAAUGACCGACGAAAUUAAGGCGACAAAGAAAAAUGGAUCACAAUUCCUUCUCACUUUUAUGUCCUUUACUCACUUGAUGCCUAGCUUUGCGUUGAAAGAACAUAAUGAUAAGACACCACUUAUCUUAUAAGACACGCCCCACCCCGCCCCCCCACCCCCAAGCUUCAGCUAUGUGUUCAAGGAUUGCUCUAAGGCUGAGUUUAGUUCAAUGGAAAUGAUAAUGGUGUGGAUACAUCUCUUAUGUUUGAUUUUCCCAUUUGAAGGACAUGAAAGGGGUGUAAACGGUUCGGUUCGGUUCGGUUAUUUUGAAAAACCGAACUGAACCGAACCGUUAGAGAAAAUUUCCAAACCGAACCGAAUAAGUCCCGAAACGAUAACGUUCGGUUCGGUUCGGUUCGAUUUUUCGGUUUUCAACUUUUGGUUUUUUUGAGUUCAACUUAGAUGGAAACCGAUAAAAACCAAGAGACACGAAAGGACUAGAGAUGGGAGUCGGGAGAGAACCGAAUUAGAUUUGAUUUUAUCGGUUUUCGGUUCGGUUAACUGAUAAAAACCGAACCGAUAAAUUUUUUUUGGUUUUUGAUGAAAACCAAACCGAAAACCGAACCGAACCGAAAAAAUCAAAUUUUUCGGUUCAGUUCGGUUCGGUUUGCGGUUCAAUUUUCGGUUCGGGUCUUGAUGCCCCUAAUGAAUAUGUUCUUUUAUAACAGUUUGUGCUUAAUUAAUUAAAUGAAUUUAAGAAGAAACUGCAGAUUUUCCUUUUCUUAAAACCGAACAAGACGUCCCUUCGACUGAGCAUUCCCAAAAAAUAUUCCCUUUUUUAGUGACAUUUCCAAAAUUGCCCUAGCAUUGAACUCCAUUUGAACACGAGUCAUCCGUUACCAUCCCAAUCACGCAAAAAGCAUAUUUUUUUUAAUGCAUUUUUGAAGGAAAACAAUGUACCUUUUUUUCAACCUUGUUAAUAUUAACAUACUAUUCAAUUGAAAAAAAAAAUUUGAAAUACUAUAUUUGAAUCUUCGAAACUCGAAAAGGUCAACAAACUUGAGCACAAGAUUUAGGAGAAGCGAAAGGUAAAAAUUAAAGAGUAAAAGUCAUUCCAUACAUAUAGGAACAUGUACGGUGAUUAAACAACAACAUACAAACCCCUACUAUACGUCAACAAAACCAAUUAUAAUGAGGACUGAGACUUUUGAAAAUCUUAUCUGUAGAAGUCUCCAAAAAGACAAUAUCCCUAGAUCCUAGCCCUGAUCAAUCUGAGAAAAAAGAGGUUAAUGAAGGAAUAAGCAAUCACUACCUCAGCAAAUGAACUCUCAAGACUUAGAAUAGGACAUCAAGUGCAUUCUUAAAUGAAACCUUGCGAUUUAACAUAAUAAGCCGUGAACACAAAUAUAAAUGUGACGUGAAAUUGUCUCACUCCAGAUCAAUCACCCAACCAACAUAGAAGCUCAACCAAUCACAUAUCAUAUUAUGAGACUAAAGUCCGUAAGUGUAUUUCAACCCAAUAACUAAGACAUCCCUGACAACAAGGCAUUGCUUUGAGAGAGUUUUUUUUUUAUUUUUUUAUUGAUUUAAAGUAAAAACUUCAUUCAAUUCUCAAGAUGAUGCAUGAGAGGUUCAAAACAAAGCAGAUACAAAAUAGCAAAGUAGAAUAAUAAAGUAAGCACACUUUCAUCCCACAGGAAUAUAUUUGUCUCAGCAUAAAAAAAAAAAUGAAUAGUGGCCAAUCACCAAUCUCACAUCAUCAUAAGUAAUAAGCACAUACUAUAAUCUUCUUCUUCAAUAGCUACAGCUUUCCGGAUAGUUGAUACAUGCUUAGGUUCAAUGUUCUCAAUGCCAUCACCAUAUAGAGACACCAAAAACAGGUUAAACAGGCUCCCAAAUCUAGAUCUAGAUCGGGAGAUGUUGAAGGAGCACAGCAAAGCCUUUAAGGAACUCCCAAAUAUAAAUAUAGAUCAAAAGAGAAGAGCUUUCAAAUCUAGAUCUAAAUUAUUUGAGAGAUGAGAACUUCCAAAACUCGACGGAGUCGUAUAACCACUUUCAAUGAGUAUGAACUCGGCAUAUUUCUCUUCAAUCCCAUUGUACUUCUUGGUUUGGACGAUCUAUUGCCUAACGAUGGAAGCUGAAGAUACGCCCAGCGAACAAAGAAUUGUAUCAACAGUGAGCAAAAGAAAAAACAAAAAAACUUAUUUACAAUAGGCUAUUUCUAAACUAAACUUAUUUGUUGAUGUGACUUCAAUCACUACUUGUUUAUGGUGUUGGUAAGAAAGUUGAAUAAAAGUUGGAAAUAAUAAGAGAAUUAUUUUUGUUAGCAAUUAGAGAAAUUGGUAACUUUUAUAAAAAAAAUAUAUAUGUGUGGGUAACUAACUCAAAUAAAGAGUUAAUAACACAAAGUUCGUCGGUAAUGCAAUCAUAGAAAGAAGGUUGGCAAGGCAAAUAAAGGAUGGUAAUUCAAUAGAAAAAAGAUGAAUGCUUUAGCAUGACAAAAACUUUUCCCGUUGGCCUACCAACGAUAGGGGCAUUUCUCUGCACAGAAAAAUUAUGUGCUAUAUAUCUAAAUUACCCGCAUAGAAAGCAUGAUCUACUGUCAGUUGAAGCAUCCGUUAAUAUAGAACAAUCAUGUGCUACAUGUCCAAUUUUCCUACAUAGAAAGUAUGCCCUCAUACAGACAAGUGUUCUAUUCCCACAGGUGUCAUAAGAGCCCUGAUUAUUUUGAUUUAUGGACUUUCUUGGCAAAAUUAUUAGUCCCGUUUGGUUCGGCAUUUGGAAGGAGCUUUUGGGCCCUAAAGGGAUUUGGCCAAAUACAAACGUGUUUGGUUCAAUUUUUAGGACAAUGUUGGCAAGAUGCAAUUGUAUCUCCAAAUGACUCUAAGAACCUUUUAGCUCAAAGCAGCUUUGGAGAUACUUUGGAAAGUUGCAUUCACGGAAUGCAAGUUCCACGAGUACUGUUCAUCUUCUUCAAAGAAACAAACGGAGGCCGACGAUCGCUAGCCAAUGAGUUGCCCAUGCCGAUGACCACUACUUGAGGCGUCGCCUAACCCCGGCAAUCACUACAUGAGGCGUUGCCUAACCCCAGGGAUUGCGGCCACCCAGUGACCGCCGUCUAAGGUUGUGUGAUCUUAGGUGAGGCGGCCUGAGGUCCGACACAUAGGGUUCGUGACCCAGGCGAUUGUCGCUUGGGUUCAUGCGACCUAGGCAACCGAACCCAUGCGAUAGUCGCUAGACCUCAAGCAACUCCUGGGGUUCGCGACCCAAGCGAUCAUCGCUUGAGUCACGCAUCCUAGACAGCCGCUUAGGUCACAACCCCAGGCGUCGCCUGAGGUCAUGUGACCUUAGGUGAGGUUGGCCGCUUGAGAUCACAUGACCUUAGGUGAGGCUAUUUGGCAACCAGAUCUGGCCGCUGGUGGCUAUAUUAAAAAAAAAUUAAAACUUUUUUUAAUGAAAAAUUUAGCAAGAGUCAUUUGCAAAAUGUAUUAAGCCAAAGUUGUUUCAUAAUGUACCUUAAAAUUGCAAUUUACCCAACGUUAUUUGUAUUCUAAAAAUCCCUUUAGCGCACAAGUAUUUGCAUUUUCCCAAUGACAUUUGCCUAAAGCUGAACCAAACGAGGCCAUCACCUCUUCGUUUAUUACCACUUUGAGCUUUGAGUAAGCUUUCCAUUGGCCUGUCGAAAUUGUUUUAUUUACGAAUAAACUUGGUUUAAUCAAAUCUUGCUUAGGUUUCUACUUGAUUUUAAUAUAUGUUUUUACUUAAUGAUAGGAUUUUCAUUUUUUCUACUCAACGCAAUUUUUCUUGUUUGGUUUUCCAAUGUCAGAUCUAGCAAGAGAGGCCUCGUUGGUGUUCACCUCACCUAGGUGCGACCUAACGAGGCCAACUCUCACCUGGGAGAGGCCAUCCCUCAUCAACCAUGGCCUGAGUCACCAGAAAUUGCAAAGAGAACAUGGAAAGAUAAAAAAAGAAGAAAAUUAUUAAAAAUUUAUUUAAAAAAAUCUACAUUAGCGUCAGUUGUGCUAUAUAAUACGAAUGAUGUCAAUGUCAGUAAUUUCCAACCUAAAUUUGUCAAAUGAACAUAAUUUGGACCAAUGUGAAAAAAUUAAGUAUUAAAUUAGCUCAAUUGAAAAGUUAAUGACUAAAUUGAUAGCAAUGACAUAGGUGAGGACUUUUUUUGGCACUUUUUUUCUUAAAUAGCAUAUUAUAAUACAACAACUAGAAUAACUAUCAACGGUUACAUACCAACAGCCAUGCCCAACAGCUGAGUUCGUGUUGUCUAGACUAGGCCUGAGCGGUCAUAGUCCGCUGUCCUCACCGAUAUACUCGGUGGAGAUUGAUAUCACCGGAAUUUUUCUUUACCAAGGUUGUCAAAUAUUUGGCUUGUUUAAAUGGACGAAUACCAUUAAAGACAACUUUUUAAAAAAAAAUUUCACCGAUGCCUAUGCCUAAUGAGUGACUUGUUGGCUUUGGUUCGUCUCUGUUAAUCGGUGGUGUCAUUUGCUGUGGUUUUUCCUAUGUUCUUUUGGUCUCUUGGGUUCGGCUUUUUUUUAUAGCUAGGAAUUGGAGUGAUUCAGGUUUUUUGACUCAUGAAUGAACUCGACAUCCUCAAAAUGUAUUUGCUGAUUGUCAAUUGUGAUGUGAACGGGUAUGUUCUGACUUGCUUUCCAUUGAUUUCUGCAUUUUUUUUUCGCCUUGGUUUCUUUUCUUUUCCUUGCUUUGCAAGUUUUAACCUCUGUUAGUUUCCUAAUAAAGCCCAAUUUCCCACUUGAAUUAUGAGGUUUUACCCUGCUUUUUCUUCAUUCCAAUUCGUGCAGUCCACAUUAUUUGAGUUUCAAUUAUCGUUCAUGUUAUGUCUUGGUCACAUUUUAAUGUCCUAAGAAUUUGUUUUGAGUGAGGAUUUGAACCUUGUUGACAUCCAAAUGUCUACAUUUUAAAUAUCCAUUUAUAUAUAUAUAUAUAUAAAGAUGAGUAAAAUAGGUGAUAUAAAAUGAAUAAAAAGUAUUAAAAAAAGAAAAAAAGAGUCGAGUGGGCCGGCGAAGUUAAGCCCAUUCUUUUUUAUGCUUUCGCAGCCCAUUCCUUUAUUUCUUCUUCAGCCCAUCCAUUUUUUGUUUAUUCUUUGAGCCCAUCUGAAACAAUUAAGAAAAGAGGCCCAGCCCCACAUGCUCUCUCUCUCUCUUUUCCCUUCGCACGACCGACAUGCGGGUGACAGAAGGAGACGAACUCAGCAAAGGAAGCGGCCAUGAGCGGGACCUCCACCUGAUCACCAUCUCCGUCUCGACUUCCAGAGCUUCUUUCCUUCUUCUCGGACGUUCUCUCGUCGCCUACUCAGCUGCGACGGCGCCCUCGAAGUUCCGAUUUCUCCUUGUCGUGUAGAGUCUCCCUUCUUUCUAUCGGCGCGUGGCGACGUCGCUGAUCGUAGUUGUCCGGCGGCGAGAGCGAGCUUGAGAGUUCGAGGAGUGCGAGAUGUUGUCGAUCCUGUGACGAAAAGCCGCCGCCAGAGUCACGGGUGCUAUGCUGUUAAGGAAGAUACCGGAGAGAAGAGGGAGGACUCGCGUUUUUGAGGAGAGGACGUUCGGCCGUAGAGGGAGGUCGGGAGGAGAGAAGGUUUUUGGCUGGAGGAGAAACGCCGGCCGAAGGUCUCUUCAGAGUCGUCUGAAGCUUCACCGGAGGCCAGCUCGCCGUCCACCGUCCGCCAUAACCGAUUCUCGAUCCAGGCGAGUGCCUUCCUCCUUUGUAUGUGACGUGUUCCUACCAUAUUGGAACUCGAACCGUGCACGAUGAAGUCGCGGGGAAUUUCGUGUAGAAUGACACUGAUUUGUUGCUUGAUGAUCUCAUCCGAAUGCCUGUAUGCCGCAUUUAGACCGAAAAUCAGACGAUAAUCGGAUCAGAAGCUUGUUCUUGAUACUGCCCAUUACCUGUUUGAUGAAAUGUCUAAGAGAAAACCGAAGAGCAAUUUAUGUUUAAACUCAAGAUUGAUCCAUGUUUGAAUCUACACUUAUUGAACAAUGUCUGAUAUUCGUAUUUUCUUUGCAUUUUUCAUGCGAGUUGGUGAAAAAAUUCCUGUCCGAGUUGGUCGUUCAUGGAUCUUCCCCUCGCCGGAGCUUCACCUCCCUUCGCCGGCGAGCCCUACGGUUCAAGGCCGUCCGAGUCAGUUUUUCUCUUCAUUCUAAAUGUAUUCAUGCUUGGUUGAUUGUUGGAUUGCUGGUUUUAGAAAUUCCGGAUCGAUAGGUUUUUAUUUCGUUAGAUUUUGUGUUUGCCCGGCGGGAGACGACGGACGCCGGCAGGAGUAGGCGGCAGGUGGUGGCCCGGUGGCGGCAAUCACGUGGCAAGGGCGGAUCACUGUGGCGUUGAGAGCUGGCAGUCCCAGUUCGGUAAGUUGCAGGGAAGAAGACGUUCGGUGAAGAAGACGUCCUGAGGUUGAAGAUGAUGCGAGGUGAAGGAGAUGGGCAGAAAAGACAAAACAGAGAAAAAGACCAAAAAAAAAAAAAGAAGAAUAAAAACCCCUUAAAAAAUUCAAAAAAACAUAAAAAUAUUAAAAAUAAUUCGCUUUGAUCCGACCAGGUCGGAUCCGAGUAGACGGGUCGGGUCAAUGUGCCGGAUCGGGUGAAUUCGGUCCGAACCCGUUCCCCAAAUAUAAUAAUAAUAAAAUGGACAUUAAAAAUUAAAAAAAUGGAAAAAAUUAAAAAUUGAGAAAAUGAUAAAAAUUAAGGAAAUAAAAAAUUUAGAAAAUUUGGAAAAACAUUAAAAAGUUUGUUAAAAUCAGAAAAUUCAUAAAAUUUAGAAAAUUGAAAAAUAAUAAAAAAUUAGAAUUCAGAAAAUCAUUAAAAAAUAGAAAAUCCAGAAAAUAACAAAAAUUAGAAAAAGCAUUAAAAAUUCAUAAAAUUAUUAAAAAAAGAAAAUUUUAGAAAAGUUGGAAAACCCUUUAAAAUGUUAAAACCUAAAAUUGGAUAAGCCUUUAGGGAUUUUUUUUUUUUUUUUUGUGUUUUAGAUUGUCUUUUCUUUUUAGAGACAAUUUAAGGAUGCUUGCAUACUUCCUAUUAUGAUUAUAAUUGACUGCGCUUUUCAAUAUUUGGAUUUUAAUUCCUUGUUUUAGUAUGGUUAGGACAAAUUUCGACUUUUUUUAGAUAGGUUGCUAUGGUGUUAAUUAGCACAUGACCGAAUUAGAUACCAAAAUGGCGUUAGUCUUAGGGCUAACAUAAUCAAGUCCUUGAGUCUUGAAUCUCUGAUUGCGUAAAUAUUAAUAUUCUCCCAUAUCUUACUGCUUUCUAGCCUACCCAAAAAGGUUAGUGGCGACUUAUUUAUUAAAAUUUUCAUAGGCUUAAUUGAUGAAAAUCUUGAACGCCUAUUGCGCAAGAUAUGGGCUUGGGAGAGUCCAAGUCAAUGGAUGGCCGUCGGCCCGAGGUCAACAAUACCCUUAAACCUAAUAGGCUCCCUUCCCAUGAGAGAGUUAGGUCGCGACAGCUCGGCAACUCUACUGGGGAUCAAACCUAGAAUCUCUAGUUGCUUAAAUACUAAUAUUAUCCCGUAUCUUAUUGGGUUUCUAGCUUACCCAAAAAGACUAGCGGCGACUUCUUUAUUAAAAUUUUCAUAGGCUUGACUAAAUUUUGAACAUCUGAUUUUGCGUGAGAUAUGAGUAGGGUGAGCAGUUUCAGCUUCCGUAUAGGUUCUACUUGGACCUACUCGUUGGAACAGGUUUCUCAUUUUUUGGAACCUACAACCUACCCUCAAUAUCCUAGAAUUUAGAACCUAUCUUAUCACAGGUUCCGAUGGUCUAGUCAAGUUUCAUUUAUAUUAUUAAUUGAACGAUUGCAGUGAAUUAAGACCUUUAAUGACUGUACUCCCUACUACAAUUCAUUGAUCAUAAAGACAUACUAAAAGUAUAAAUAUUGAUAAAGUAAAAGUCAGUCAUAAAAUGGAACUUUAGACUAAUAUUUCUAGAUUAUACACUAAUCAUCAAACGACAUGGAAUAUUACAAGAAUGAGUGAAGACAUGAACAAAAAAAAAAUUGUUACAAGUUUAAGGUUCUAAGUUUUUUCAACUAAGAACCUGAAACCUAUUAGCUGAAACAAGUUUCUCAUUUUUUGAAACCUAGAGUCUACUCUGCAAACCUUGGAAUCACCCCUAGAUAUGGGCUUGGGAGAGUCCUAGUUAAUGGAUGGCUGUUAGCUCGAAGUUGGCAAUACUCCUAAACUUGAUAAGGUCCCUCCUUGAAAGAGGGGUUAGUUUGUGACAAACUUUUAAGAGCUUUUUCUUUACAAUUUUGUGUUGGGUUUGUUGACACCCAAAAUUUUCGUCGACAUUUUAAUCAUCCAUUUUGCAAGAAUAUAAAAAAAAUAAAGAGUCAAUAAAUAAAAAAAUAAAAAAAAUAAUGAAAAUAUAAAAAAAAUAGAGAGAGAAAAAAAAAGAGAAGUAAAAGAAUCAAUAAAAGAAAAAAAAGAGAAAAAGAAAAGAAGAAAAAAAGAAGAAAAGAAAGAAAGAAAAGAAAAGAAAAAAAUGAAAGAAAAUGAAAGAAAAAAUAAGAAAUAAAGAAAACCAAAAAGGAGAGAAAAAAAGAAAAAUAAAAAAAUAUAAAAGGAAGGGACGCUCUCUCUCUCCAUGGACGCUCUGGCUCUCCACACUUCGCACAGAGUCUCUCUCUCCUCACACGGGCUCUCUCUCUCUCUCUCUCUCUCUCUCUCUGCGUUCGUAUUUUCUGUGGAGUCAUCAAUGGAGUUCGAGGCAGUUGCAGCAGAACCCUAGCCUUCCCACGACGUCAAUAGCGGCAUCUUUCUUGCGCUUCUCCUCGGAUCAUCUUCAUGCCAUCUUUUGAGCUCAUGGACUAGCGAUCUUCCUCUCGCGGACCUCGUCUUCUCUCGGCCGACUCAGCGCUCGAAGCUCAUUUCGAAGACGCGGCCGCUAGGACUCAGAUCUCGGAUCCCUAGCCUCGAACGAUCCCCGUAGACAUCCGUGAUUCCUCAGGGGAAAAUCUCGACUUCGCUCGCGGUCCAUCGAAGGGAGUUUCCGCAUCCGUCUCCAGUACUUCUCCGUUGAGCUCAAGUCGAAGGCGAGGGUUUUUCUCUCGUUAGCGAGGAUCAGAAAUUGAAGACCGGCGGUUGGGGAUUGCGAGGGGAGUUCCGUUUCGCUCUUUCUCUAGCGAUUCUCACUCAGCGGAUCCCUCUCUUUGUCGGAGAUCAGACGUGAGCUCUUUUUCCAUCCUCCUCGAUCUGUUAGGGUUUUCGAUUUCUGUUCUCUAUUUGCAUCCAUUUGGGUCGUGGAUUCUGAUCUCUCUCUAUCCCUCCUUCGGACGCUCACUCGCUUAAUCAAUCCGACGCCUUCGUCGCGGAUCACGCCCUUCCGGAGCUCGAGAUACAGGUAAUCAGGUUUUUCUCUUAUCUCUCUCUCGAUCGCUCUGUCUCACGCAUGGUUCGUUACUCUCUCCCUGGUUUGAUCGCUGUCUUUUUUCUUCUCGAUCACUCUUUCUCUAUCGAUUUUGUACUUGUAUCUGUUUUUUUAGUUCCGAGGUUGUGUGUUUUCAUUAGCCUCUUCUGCCAAGUCACCUUAGCUUGUGUGUCGUUCAUGCUAAUUGCUAUGUUUGUGAUGUUCUGUUGAUGCCAUUUACUCCAUAACCUGGAAAUGUUCUCCACCUGUUUGAUAAAAUUCCUGAAUUAGACCAGUGUGUGUUUUGAUUCAGAAUAUGAUUGAGAGCUUCCCUUUGCUUGAUCGAUACACUAGUUUUGUUGUAUAGACUUUACUUGUAUUUCGUUUCCUUUCAUUUCAGAACUUAGUAACUAGCCGUUUUAGGAUUUGUUAUUGAAAUUCUUGGGUUAGAUACAUAUCUAGUGCAAAGCAAGCUGAGCAAACAGGACAUGUACAAGAAGAAAAUUGAUUGGUUUUAAUAAAAUUGGUCCCCUGCUGUUGCUGUGUUUUUUUUUUUUUUUUUUUUUUUAGAAUUCCUUGUUCUUAAUAUGGAAUGUGUUCUUUGCUAGAAAGCUGUGAGUUCAUUGGUACACUUCAAUCUGGAUUGCUUUCUAUAUUUUGCCCCUUGAUGAGCUUGUAGUUGUCAGUAAACCAAUAUGGUUGUGCGGCCAUUGGAAGAGUUUUUUUUUUUAUGCUCCUUUCUAGAAACUGCUGUCUUCUAUCGGUUGGGAAUAGCUGUUUGAAACAUGAUAGGCAAGCUACAAUUUUUUAUUUGGUUGUGUGUAUACCCAAUCGUGAUUUGUUCAUUUCUUUUUGUGCCUCUUUCGAUUUGAUUUGUGUAAAUGAGGUGUAUAUGUAAUGCAUGAAUGUUAUAUAGUCUCAAUGUAAGACAUGAAGAAUCAGCAUAAUUUGUAUCACUGUGCUUGCUGCCAUCUAUGAUUGUCUAGCUUGCCACGAAUAUACAUGUUACAUUGUGGUCACCUUGUUGUGUUUGUACCAAUGUGUGAUGAGCUGUGUUGAGAAUUGCGUCAAUUCUUUGUGUGUUUGCUGUUUUGACGUACUGCAACUUUCUGUUUUGGUUGAAACGAGGUGUUAGAUAAGUUUUUUUGACUUCGAGCCCUUCUAGACAUAUAACAUACAUUUCUAGAGCUUCGUUUUGAUAUGUCGCACGCCCUGAAUAGACAUCAUCCGGUCAUCGAAAAAUACCGACAAAGUCUGUCAAUUCUGCAGUAGUUUUUUUAGGUUGAUUUGCUGUUUUGACCUACUGCAAUUUUCUGUUUUAACCGGAACGAGCUGGAAGAUGUUGUUAUUAGGACUUAAUGUCUUCUAGAGAUUUGUAAUAGGCUUCUCAAACUUUCCAUUGACAUAUUAUAUGUGCGAUUUGGUCAUCAUUUGCCCUGCCUUUCCUUUUUUCAAAUCGAGCUUUGAAAUCUGGAAUUUGUCUUGAACUGCAAUGCUGUCUUUUCUGUGGCUAGUUGCUGUUAAUCUUAAAAUAAGAUAGUAGAUUUGUCCAAAUUGCCUUCAAUAUGUUGUAAAAUGACGGUGUGACAUGCUACUAUGAUCUAUUUUUGAUUGAUUUGUUCAUGUUCUUAAUAUUUUUAGAAAUUCAUGCGUUAGGAAUCUUGAGGUGCUUCCUUCAUGGAAUGACAUCCUUUAUCAAUUGUCUACAAAACGGUUUUAGGUAUCAUGUGGGUUACACAUUGAUUGCUCCGCUUGCCUUAAAUACAUAUGUUGAGUGAAUUCAAUGGUGCGUGUUUUGGAAUAAGUGAUCUUUAGUUGGUUCAUUCAUUGUUUUGAGUUGAUUGAGGACCAAGGUUAUAUGGCUUGAAUGUUUGUCAUGUUAUAUGCUUUGUGUGUGAUCGUUAUAUGGAUGAUUUAGGUGUAAUACAUAAUGAUGCUAAAUCUUGGGAUUUCACUUAGAAUUUGAUCUAGAAGACUUUGUGACUUUAGUCACUCUUUGUGAACAUAAAAGAAUGUCUUGCUUUUGAUUGUUUCGAUACGUGAUGAUUGUUUUUUUCAUUUGUAUGCAUCUAAUCAUCCAGAUUUUCUAUAUUAGGUUUAGAAUAGGAUCCAAAAAGUGGAGAAGAAGUGAAGAUGGUGGAGGUCGAUGUCCACUCCGACCGUUAUUCUGUAAUAUUCGUUUUUCUCCCGACAUAUGUCUCGGGUUCCUUGUGUUGUAUAAAACUCGACGAGUUGCGGGUUUUCUCUUUUUCCCUUUUUUUUUUCUUAAUUGUGUUUUCUCUUUUAUAUUUUUAGAAUUGCAUGAUUAGGUUUAUUGCUUUCUCUUGAUUGUUUACUUCAUGUCUUGCACUUUCAAUUUCAUUGAUUGUUUUCUUUUCAUUUUUUUAGAAAUAAAAUAGCAUGAAAAUGAUCAACCACGCAUGAUCACUUAGCCUAGGAAUUGAUGAUCCCGAAAAUGUAAAAAGAAACGCAUGGAUAUAUUAGGAAAAACACAACAUACUGUUUAGGUACCGAAAGGGCGCUAAUAGCAAUAUUAGCGUAAUCCAAGUCCCCGAACCUAGAUAUCUGGUUACGUAGGAAUCGAUGGAGCACUCCCGACUCUCGAUUGGGUUUCUAGUCGACCCCCGAAAAUGAGGCUAGUGGCGACUCCUGUAUAUUUUUAGGUUGUUAUAAAUACCUAGAUUAUAUAAAUAAAUCCGCUGUCACGCGGGGUACGAGCUUGGGAGAGCUUGUGAUCUUGAGAUCAAGUACCCCUAAACCCGACCUUUCCCCAUCUUGGAUACUUUUCGAGGGGGCGGCGAGAUCGGGUCGCGACAGGCUUGUGCUUGGAGGAGUCUACGUUUGUUUAUUCAUGGCUUUGCCUUUCUUAUUGUGGCAAUUUUCUGUUAUGUUCGUGCAGGUAAUGAAGAUAAUAAAUAAUUAGAUUAAAAUUUUAAUGAAGUUGCCGAUCGCUUAGUAAGAAUUGUUAUUACUUUUUGUCUAGGUGAUUUAUAUCCAUGGGAAACACAAGACGUAUGAUCACAUUUGUGGGUUCACGCAUGGUGCAAAUAAGUUGUGAGUUAGAAGAGAAGCUCGAAAAAGUACACAAUGGUGACAAGUUAUGUUAUAAUUCAAAGGUUGAACUGAUCAGCCUCAAGAAGAGAAAUGUGAAUGCAUCAGGUAAGACUUACCUACAUAUAUAUUGUACAAUUUUUCAUCAUACUAUACUGAGAUGGUCCGAGUAUUGAUAUGGUUUGAUAAUAUUAGAUCCUUCUUUUGAUAUUUAGAAUUUCUUGUCUAGUAGCUGCCUCUAGAAAAAAGGAAGCACAACUUUAUGUGUCUAUAGGGCAUAUGGAAUCUUUCUCCUGAGAAAUGCAUCACUUCAAGUUAGGGAAGAAAAUGCAGCCUAUUGGAGGUUUAAGGAGUUUCUUGGAACCAUUGCUAGCGUGUUGGCACUAUUGUUCACAACUUUGAAGCAAACUACCAAGGAUAUGAGGAUGCCAUGAUUAGGAUCGUAGAGGUAGUUAGCUUGUACUUGUAUGAAAUUUUAUUCAUGUCAUAAAUAAAUUUAUCAUCAUUAUUAAUAUUUCUUUGUUGUUGUCUAAGUUUGAUUAUCUUCAUACCAACCAUGGAAAAAUGGAUUCUACAUUCCUUAAUACUGGAAAAGUGAUCUAAAAACUGCUCAAUAUGAUAGCUUUCGAUCAUUCUCAUAUCAUUUGAAGAAUCUGUCAGAAAGAGUGAGGAGAGAUCAAUGCAAAAAUCUAGUGACUUUUUGGAGUUCAUGGGACACAUUGUUUUAAUAUAUGACCUGUCAACUUAAAUAGACUCUCAUUACCUCUUACUGACUAUUUUCUGAUAACCUUGUUUUUUUAAUUGGAGAAGCUGAGUGAAACAAAUAAGGUAAUGGAGCAAAACAAAAAAAUAUGACACACCUUAGGAAACAAAAUUUUUGCUAGAAUAAAAAUAGAAAAGGUAAGUAUUCUCAUGUUUCCCCUUAGAUUUUUGUGUUUCCCUGUAAGUGAUAUUUCCAUUGUGUAAUCAAUAAUUUCUCUUUAGAAAAGAUUCUGCUGAGGUGAUAUCUUUGGACUUAAGGUAAAGAUGUCUAGAGAUAUUUGCCACUUUUCCGACACUACGUGUGUUUAGAUAGCAGUUGUCAUAGGAAGAAAAGAUAGGAUGUGUUCUAGAAAUGCCUCCUUAAGAUUGUCUACGUUCUUAGCACGUGCAUCGAUUUCUUGUUAUUAUUCCCUUAGCUCUAUGAUUUGGAUUUGCUAGUGACAGCACAAUAAUCCACAACUUGGUUCAGGUUUAUCUAGAACACAAUGUCCAAAAUCAUUAACAAAAGAGCUAUGCAGCAGCUAGAGCUAUAAAGUAAAUUAUAAAUGAUGAAACCUGUACAAUUUUCUAUUAAUUUGCUAACGUGACUGCAGUUUGGUUUAAUGAGAGAGAUCAAAAAAUAGAAAAGUACUGUAGCCCUAAAAUACCCAAUUGCUAGCUGUGCCAUUUCACAUGCAUGCACACAUCCCCUUAAUUGUUGAAAAGCCAUUCAAUAUAGUUCAUCUAGUGUCAACAAAUGUUAUUCAGUCUUGGCAAUGACAAUAUUGCUGCUGUAAUGUUAAUCCGGGAGUGUUUAGCUUAGAGAAAAAGGACCAUAGGCGAGCCGACGAAAAUCCCAUUUCGUUUUAUUGAGACGGAUCGAAAAUUCAGGAUGUCACAAUAGGGGUAUUCCUUUGCAUGGAACAAUUGUGUGCUAUAUAUCUAAGUUGCCCGUAUAUAAAAAGGAUGAUCUACUAUCAUUUGGAGCAUCCUCAAUAUAGAACAAUCUUGUACGACACGUCUCAUUUUCCCACAUAGAAAGUAUGCCCUUAUGUUCCAGUAAUACCAACAAGUGUUAUGUUUUCCACAAGUGUUGGCCCUGAUUAUUUUGAUUUCUAGACUUCCUUGGCCUAUUAUUGGGUAGAAGUACAGUAUAAAUGUAAAAUUUUGGUAUGUAGAGACAUUUAAGUAUCAAAAGUUACACAAGGUACACAUAAGUGUCACUUUUUUUUGAAAAAUUGGACAUUUAGGGGGUGUUUGUUUGUAUUUUUUUUUGUUUAUGAACAAAAAUCCUUUUUUUUGUUUGUUCCAGAGAAUAAAAAAAGAACAAAAAUGUGUUUGUUUGCGUUUUUGUUCCAAAUCUAUUUUUUUUUGUUCCCGGGAACAAAUUUGAAACAGAAACAAGAAACAAAAAAACUUGUUUCUUGUUUCUGAAACACUUUUAAGAAACAAAUUUUCUCUCUCUUCUAUUUUUCUUCUCUUUCUUUCUUCUUCUUUUCUUUUUCUUUUUUUUUUGGCCGGUCACCGGCCUCGGCCAUGGCCGACGACCUUGCUAGAGCGUCGCCGGCCCCUAGCGAGGCUCGGCCUUGCCAGAUCCAAGAGAGCCUGAGCUCGCCCAGCCAAGGCGAGGCCGAGCCUUGCGCUGGCUAACGACACUCCGCCUUGCCUUGGUUAGGUGAGCUCGAGCUCGCCCAGAUCUGGUGCCGCCUGGAGGUGGCCCAGCGAGGCUCAGCCUCACCAAAUUUGAGCGAGCUCGAGCUCGCCCAGCCAAGGCAAGGCCAAGCCUCGCGUCAACCGGCGACGCUCGGCCUCGCCUUGGCUGGGCAAGCUCAAGCUCACCUAGAUCCGGCGAGCCUCGCCAUGGCUAGGCGAGGCCGCCAGCCCUCAUCGGCCGGUCACCGGCCAUGGCCGAGGUCGGCGACCAACUACAAGGAAGAAAUAAAGAAAAAUUAAAAAAAAUUAAAAAAUUAAAAGAAACAAAAAAAGAACACAAAUUUACCAAACAUGUUUUUGUUCUUUUUAUUUAUUUAUUCCUGGAACAAGUUUACCAAUUACGUUCUUCUGGUAAAAAAUUAUUCCCUAGAAUAGAAAUAGUUUUUUCUAUUUAUGUUUCCUAGAACAAUUUUUGAACAUAAAUGUUAUCACACGCACCUAUAAGUGCCAAUUCCGAUUAAAGAUGCUAGAAAUCCCAUAUAACAUAUUUUUUUAAUAAUAUAACUUGCCUACAUGGCUCACUGGACAGCUAAGUUAGCAAAGUAGAGCCAAAACAAUGUCAUUUUGCCCCUUAUUUGAAUUUUAAUAUGAAUAUUAAUUAAAUUAAAUUUAAAACUAAAUUUAAUAAAUAAAUAUUACAAAAAAAAACAUGGGUUUGCAACUCAGCCCUCACUGCCGCCUCCCCAUCAUUGCUGGGAAGGGCCGGCAAUGGUGGGAGGAGCGUUGCUUAGGGUCGUCGAGCCUUGGUUAGGGGAUGUAACCAGUGGCGACCCUGGCCAACUAGCAUCGAGGGCCUACAAGCCCUCACCCAAAUCUGGGGCAAGGGUCCCAACCUUCCCUCAGAUGCAGCAAAGGUCGCUAGCCCUCGCCUAGUCAAGCCAAAGGCCACCACUGGUUGGGUCACCUAACUAAGGCCUAGUGACCCUAAUCGACCCUCCCUUCACCAUCGCUAGCCCUUCUCAGCAAUGGUGAGAGGCUGCACCCUCGUUGUUCUACAAACCCAUCUUCCCCUUUUUUUUUAUAUUUAUUUAUUAUUUAUCAAAUUUAGUUUUAAAUUUAAUUUAAUAAUAUUUAUAUUAAAAUUCAAAUCCCAAGCAAAAGAACAUCGUUUUUGGCUUUUCUUUCCACGUUAGAGUGCAAAACGACAUCGUUAUACACUGAUCUCAUUGGAAAAAUGUUACGUUAAUAUUUUGACUGUAUUUUCUUGUCACUGGUACUUAGCUAAUCCAUUUUACUCCUAUUUUGGCACUUAUGUGUACCUUUCGAAACUUUUGGCACUCAAAUGUUUCCUCGUGUCAAAUUUUCGCACUCCAAGUGUCUGCGUCCCCUUAUUAUUGCCUCUCUAGUUAUUCCUGCUUUGAGUAAAAUUCCCAUUGGCAUGUUAGAGUAGUUUUAUUUAUGAAUAAACUUAGUUUAAUCGAAUCUUGUUUUGGAUAGUUAUCUACUUGCUUUUGAUAUAAAUUUCUUACCCAAUAUAUAAGAUUUUGAUUUUUUCUGCUCAAAGUAGUUUUCAUUGUUUGGUUUCCCAAUGUCAAGUGAGUGAUGCUUAUCUCUUCUUAGAUUUGGAAACCCAUGUAUUGAAACAAUUAAAAAGGAAAAGUGGUGUUUCAAGCAUAUUUGUUGCAUAAAGCUAGAUCAAGUAAUUACUAUCCGUUUGUUCAUUAGAUAUUGCAUAGUAAACCAUUUCUUAAAAUAGUUUGUGAGUUAAUUAUUUGUUAUAAGGUUUGGGAAAUGCUAUGUAAAAAGUAUUGUGCUUGAUGGAUUAAAUUAUGAAAGGCUAUAUGAUUUGUGAAUCCAAUUCAUGAAAUGGAUUCAGAAUUGGUUUUGUAGAUGGUUGGAUAAUGAGUCAGUUGUUUAUCAUAAUCACUAUGAUCUAAACCUUUACAGGGUUGAACAUAUGCAUAUUGUUCUUAAGAAUUGGUUUUGUAGAUGGUUGGAUAAUGAGUUAGUUGUUUAUCAUAAUCACUAUGAUCUAAACCUUUACGGAGUUGAACAUAUGCAUAUUGUUCUUAAGACAUGCCAUUAGGGCCAAGCCACCAGUUGUCAUUGGUGAAGGCAUACGUGACCAAAUAAACAUUGUUAAGCUACAUAAAACAACUAUUUUGUGAGAUAAUUGGAGCAAGGUUGGCAAAUCAUACAAAAAAGGAGUGCCAAACACCCUAAGUGCCAAAACUUGGCGUGGGUAAAUACUUAAGUACCAGAAUUUCUAAAAGGUACACUUAAGUACCAAAAUCAGAGAAGAAAAUAACAUUUAAGUGCCAGCGGCGAGAAUUUCCAACUAAACUAUUGAUGUGGCUCUUUCCAACAAGAUUUUUUUUUUUUUUUUUAUUGAUGUGGCAAUUCUUUUAAAAAACUUAUCCACAUGAUGCUAACAUGGCUAGAUAUGCCCAAAACGAUACUGUUUUGACUGAAAAUUUGAUUUUUAAAUUAAAAAACUAAAUUACAAAAAAAGAAAAAAAGAGGGAGGUAGUAUUCGGCGAGGGCCUCCCUAGCCCUUGCCGUCGCUGCUGCCACCCCACCAUCGUUGAAAAGGGCAAGCGAUGGUGGGAUGAGGGUUAGCCGAGGUCGCCAGACCCCAGCAAGUGGCCAACGACCUUAGUUGACUGCCAGCGAGGGCUUGUAGGCCCUCAUCCAAAUCUAAGGCGAGAGGUCGUGGGUGACCCCAUCACAGCUAAUGGUGGCCCUUAGCCCCUUUGGGCGAGGGCUAGUGAUCUCGAUCGACCUUUGCCCCACCAUUGUCGACCCUUUCCAACGAUGGUGGGGCAACCAUGGCAAGGGCUAUGGAGGCCCUCGACUCUCGUUUUUUUAAUUUAGUUUUUAAUUUAAUAUAAUUAAUAAUUAUAUUAAAAAUCAAAUUUGGGGGCAAAAAGAUGUCGUUUUACACAUUGAUUGCUAAGUAGACAACCUUUAGUGAGCCACACAGACCCAUAUUUAUUAUUAAAAUAAUGCCACAUUGGAUUUCUAGCUAUCUUCACUAGAGUAGGCAUUUAAUUGUCCAAUUUUUAAAAAUAGUUGCACUUAAGUGUACAUUUUAGAUAUCUUGGUACUUGAGUGUCCACCUGUGCCAAAUUUUUGCACUCAUAGUGUACUUUUGCCUACAAAAAAGGUUAAAAUUUUCAAAUAAUAGUAGUAAACUCAAGGCAUUGCCAAUAAAGGUAAAUAAAAAUUAGUGAAAGAUAAACAAAGGUUUUUGUCAAAGAUAGAAGAAGAUGGCAAUUUAAAAACAAAAACAAAAUAAAUAUUGGCAAGUAUCUUAAAUAAGAGGUGGUAACUUGAUUAGAAAAGCUAGUCCUUGUAAGUAAAAAUAAUUGACUAUUGAUAAGCAACUCAAAUGAGAGUUAGUAACUCAAAACUAGUUGGUAAUUUGACCCCUGAAAACUUUGUGAGGUCACGCAAACAAAGAUUGAUCAUUUCAUAUGGUAGUUGGUAAAUUUAAACCUUAAGUAAGAAAGGUAAAUAAACGUUGGUAAGUAAUUAGAGAAGCUUUUUUUGGUUAAAGAUAAGAGAAAUUGGUAAUUUAAAAGAAAAUCCCAAAUAAAUAUUGGUAGCUAACUCAAGUAGGAGUCGGUAUGCAAAAUAAGUUGGAAACUUAAUUAGUUAAAAGUAGGGAAUCGCUAAAAGUUUCUAAAAACAACCGGUAGAUUUAUAAAGUUUGUCAAGAAGGCAAACAAAAGAAGUGACUUAAUAAAAAUUUUAUAAAUAAAAAAAUAAAUGAACUUUGACAUAAGCAACUCAAAUGAGAGUUGACAACGCUAGCCACUAGGUUACUUAAUUGGAGUGACAUGUUAGUAACUAAAAAUAUAUGGUAGUUGAUAAAACAUUGGUGGUAAACAAGAGAAGUUUUUUUUUUUUAGGUCAAUCACAAGGGAAAGUUUUAAUUGAAAAUAAAAAAACAUCAAUAGCUAACUCAACUAAGUAUAUGUAAUGCAAAUUUUGUUAAUGACUUGAUUGGAUAAUGUUGAGAAUCACUACAAUUCCAAUUCCCAAUUGCAAUUUCUAAAAAGGAGUUGGUAGAUUUAACAAGUGGAUAAAGGAGGCAAAUCAAAGUUGGUAACUCAUUGAAAAAGUGGAUAAAUUUUUUAGAAAAAUAAACAUUGGUAGGCAAUUCAAAUGAAACUUAGUAAAUCAAAGCUAUUCAAUAAUCUAAUGGGAGAACAACUGUUAACUCACACAAUUAAAGGUUGGUGAAGUCAUAUAAAAGUUGAUAAAUUUAAGUCAUCCAUAAGAGAGACAAAUAAAAGUUGGUAAUAAUAAGAAAAUUUGAUAAAUUAAAGUAAGAUCAAAUAAAUAUCGGUAAGUAAUUCAAAUAAAAGCUGGAAAACCAAAACUAGUUGGUAAUUUGAUUGGAAAAAAAGUUGAUAAGUCACUCAAAUAAAUAUUAAAAGAUUCAUAUAUUUGUUGGUAAAUAUUAAUGAUUCAAAAUAAAAGUUAGUGUAAACUGCUAAAAGAGUUGGUAAUUUCAUGAAACUCUUGCUAAAUUACCAAUAAAUUACGGAAUAAUAAGGGACCGGUAGCUUAUUUCUACUUGUAUUUUUAUAUUUAUUAACUCUAUCAGAAAUCUACAAGCAAUGAACAAAAAUCAUUUUUUUAGCAAAAGAAUAGAAUUGUCCUAUUUACUUUUCAUCAUAAUUAUUUAAAAUAUAUAUACAUAACCAAAUCACUUAGUGGCUUGAGAAAUGAGAGAUUAACCCACUAAGCCAUGAGUGUUCUCAUAACUUUUAUUCUUAUCAUACGGAUACCAAUUCAAUUAUAAAUUAUUAUUUUUGUCAAUUAAGCCAUGAAUCUUGUAAAUAUCGUACUUUCAGUCAAUUUGAAUUAGAAAUUACUGACAUAGACGUUAGUUGUCUUAUGUGACACGAUUGUUGCUGACAUAGACAAUUUUUAUAAUUUUGUUAGACUUUUUGAAUUUUUUAUUUUAUAUAUUCUUUUUCUUUCUUACUUUUCCUUCUUUUUUUUCUUCUAAGUUUGAUGAGGAUCGUCGACCCUCACUUGCCAUAGAUUUGGCAAGGGCUACAAAGCCCUCCCCAAUCAUGGUCAAGGGUCGUCGGCCCUCUCUUGUGGUCGACAAGGGUCGAGUGGCCCUCAUUGAACUUGGUAAAAAAAAAUGGAAAAGAAAGAAAAAUAAUAAAAAUAAUAAUAAAUUAUAAAAAUUGUCCACAUCAUAGUGUCAACAUCAACAAUUUUCAAUUAAAAUUGGCCAAAAUGACUACAUUAGUAAAUCAUCAAAUUUUUUAGGAUUCAAUUUAUAAAAUUCAAAAACUUAAAACUAAAUUGACAUAUGUAUAAUAGGUUUAUGACUUUUUGGGUAAUUUUACUCAUUUGCUAUUGAUAAUGCUUUAAAAAGUUCAUUUAAUAUCUUAUUAAUCUUUCAGAAUGAGAAGGGAAAAAAAAAAGAAUCGAUUGGUUUUUAUUUUCCUUAAGGACAAUUAUUAUUUUUUUUUUGGUCAAUCAAACAUUAUGUAAGUCAAAUCCUUUUCAUGUAGACUCCUAGCAAGGUUUGGAUAACCAAGGAUACUGGAGUUGGCAAUUGAUUAUCUAGACCUUGCUAUAAGGCAGCCAGUCCAACAUAGUGCAUUUCACCCUCCCAUUUUCACCCUAGACGUGAAAGGCUAUUAUACCUGCCUAUCCGACAGUAGCCAGAGUGUUUCCACCCUAACGUGGUGUCUAUUUUCACAACUAAAGGGCCUCCUAAUUCCCUUCUCUAUCUUUUUCUUCCCGAAGAGGAGGGAAUAUGGGAGUGACAUUAUAGGGUCUUUCAUCUUAGGGUGAAUCUCUCGCCUAUUUCUUCCCCUUAAGUAUUUUAAGGACCUGCUUAGGUCCAAGUCUACUUUAUUUAGUAUCUUAUCAUAGUUGUUUUCUUUUCAUAAGUUCACACAUGUAUGUGUGUAUGUAUGUAUGUAUGUAUGUAUGUAUGUAUACACACGUAAUAUAUAUAAAAAUAGGUUUUCAUAAGCCUGGAAGAAUUUUAUACUAAUGGUGGUCAUCUUUAAUGAACAGGAUAAGAAAAACGCUUUAAUGUCAACACAAGAAAGAAAUUAGGAGAAACCCUUUCUUGUGCGAAGGAAAAGACGAAGAAGAAGAUAAGAAAUAAUCAAUCCAUUGUUUUAUAUUUUCCACUUACUUAUCUUAUGUUUAGUAUCCGUUGAAUUUUAGAUGUUAAUCAUUAUUAGAAUAUGAAACUAUUGAUCCAUUAUAUGACAUUCAAUCUUGCAAGAGGGACAUAGUGAUGCCACUCGAAUUUGGCUUGAAAAGGAAAUGGAUAAAGUCAAAUAAUAUUCUUCAAAUACACAUGCUAUGACUAGAAUGUGAGACAUGUUAUUUCUAACAUCGAUAUCCGAAAUAGAAUACAAGCAAGAAGCUUUUAAUAAUUAUUUAUCAUAUAUAACAUAAUUGAAUCGUCAAAACAAUAAUUCGAUUCUUUUUACUAAAUUAAUAUUGGAAAUCUAUAAAACCUAGAAAUCAAUUUCAGACAAUUGAACUUCUCAAGUCGUCUCUUGUUGAGAACAAAAGGUAUUUGUGCCAAUAUAUAAUAUGCUAAAAAAAAUAAAAUGCCUAGAACAUGGAAUUGAUCUUAAAAGUACUAUUUCUAUAUCAUGGCAGGAGAGAUAAUUAUCAAAUCAAUGCUAAAUCUAUUGUUUAAAUACUAAUUCAGUCCUAAAUAAUUUUGUCUAAUGUAAUUUUAAACCUUUGUGCAAAAUUUCGAAAUAGUUCUUUUAUCCAACUACCGCAAAAAACUGUUGAUGUCAUGCCUAGUCAUCUCCGAUCAUCCUACAUAGUAAAUGAUAGUGAUGGCUUUGCUCAAAGUAACAUCUUUUGUGGACCACAAUGUUAGCAAUUGGCCAGAAUGACUAUUUUGAAAUUUCGCACAAAGGUUUAUGUUGAUGCUCAAGUUUUUAUAGACGUUUUAAGUAUUCGCUCAUUUUAUGAGAUAUACAAAAUAAAUAUAAUAAUAAAGAAUGAGAAAAUUAAACAAAAAGUAAUGGUAAUAAAAAAAUAAAAAAGAGAUAUAAAACGAAGGAGAUAAAAAAAAAUGGUAAUAAAAUUCGGAGCCCAUAUUCCUUAGCAAAUUUCGGACCUGCCGAGCCCGCGUAACCAGCCCAUUUCUCUUAUUUCGUUUAUGUCUUUCAAACUCACUUUGCUUGGCCCAUUUUCCUUUCUUUGUUCACAUAAGCCCAUCAGAACUAAAAAGAAACAAAAAGCCCAGCCCAGCCCAGCCCAGCCCAGCUCAGCCUUUCCUCUGGCCUUGCUUCGGUAAGGAGCAGCGUGCUUGGGGAGAAGAAAAGGAGAAGCGACCGCAGCGACACAGCAGAAAGACAGGAGCGUUCGGCCAUUGUUGAGGGAGGGGAGAGCAAGGUUGGCUCUGCAAAAAAGUGACAACCAGAGGGAAGGAGGGACAGCCAAGGGAAAAGUUCACUAGAGACAUGUAGCUCGCUCGACGGAGGAGAGCUCAUUGGAAGCAGCCAAGGAGAAAGGAGAAAUCUGAGAGAAUGAGAGAGUGCCGCGGGUUUCGAUCUCAGAGAUGAACUCAAGAUGGGUUCGACGAGAUCGAAUCUGGCGGAGUCGUCGACUGCAGGGAGGAUGAAGUCAGAGUUGAUGGCGAGGUGAGCGAUGAUGUCACCGGCGAGAGGAUGGAGUUAGAGUUGACGGCAAGGAUGGACAGCUUCAGAGUCGACGGCGCUAGGGUUUUUGGUUGAAGCGUUGAGGAGAAGGAACGCCCCCAUCUGGUGAACGAAGAAGAUGCCCAAAUUGGAGAAAAGAAGAAACGAUUUCUAUUCAUAUUUCAGAAACUGAGAAGUUACAAUUUUUAGCUUCUGAUUUCUCCUCCAAAUCAAUUUCUGGAAUAGAAAUCUAUUUUAGAAAUAAAGAAAUCAAAUUGCAUUACCAAAGGGAUUUCUGUUCCAAACUUGUUCCGGGGAACAGAGAAAUAGAGAAAUCAAGAAACAGAAAUUUAUUAUGUGCAGCCUUAAGUACCAAAAUCAGAGAAGAAAUGAACAUUUAAGUGGCAAUGGCGAGAAUUUCCAACUAAACUGUUGAUGUGGCUCUUUCCGGCAAGAUUUUUUUAUUGAUGUGGCAAUUCUUAUAAAAAAUUUAUCCACAUGAUGCUAACUUGGCUAGAUAUGCCCAAAACGAUGUUGUUUUAACUCCAAAUUUGAUUUUUAAAUUAAAAAACUAAAUUACAAAAAAUGAAAAAAAAAAAGAGGGAGGCAGCAUUUGGCGAGGGCCUCCCUAGCCCUUGUUGUCGCCGCCGCCACCUCACCAUCGCAAAAAAGGGCCAACGACGAUGGGAUGACGGUUAGCCAAGGUCGCCAAACCCAAGCAAGUGACCAACGACCUUAGUUGACUACCAACGAGGGCUUGUAGGCCCCGUCCAAAUCUGGGGUGAGAGGUCGUGGGUGAUCCCAUCACAGCUAACAGGGCCCUUAGCCCCUUUGGGCGAGGGCCAGUGACCCCGACUAACCUUUGCCCCACCGUUGUCAACCCUUUUUGACAAUGGUGGGGCAACCAUGGCAAGGGCUAUGGAGGCCCUCGAUGAAUGCUACCUCUCUCCUUUUUUUAAUUUAGUUUUUAAAUAUAAUAUAAUUAAUAAUUAUAUUACAAAUCAAAUUUGGGGGCAAAAAGAUGUCGUUUUGCACAUUGAUUGCUAAGUAGACAACUCUAGUGAGCCAUAUAGACUAUAUUUAUUAUUAAAAUAAUGCCACAUUGGAUUUCUAGCUAUCUUCACUAGAGGAGGCAUUUAAUUGUCCAAUUUUCAAAAAUAGUUGCACUUAAGUGUACAUUUUAGAUAUCUUGGUACUUGAGUAUCCACCUGUGCCAAAUUUUCGCACUCGUAGUGUACUUUUGCCUACAAAAAAGUUUAAAAUUUUCAAAUAAUAGUAGUAAACUCAAGGCGUUGCCAAGAAAGGUAAAUAAAAAUUAGUAAAAGAUAAACAAAGGUUUUUGUCAAAGAUAGAAGAAGAUGGCAAUUUAAAAACAAAAACAAAAUAAAUAUUGGCAAGUAUCUUAAAAAAGAGGUGGUAACUUGAUUGGAAAUAUGCCAGUAAUCACUCUAAUGAAGUUGGCAAUUUCAAAAAAAGAGUUGGUAAAUUGAAAAUGUUAGUGAGUGAGGCCAAUAAAAGUGGUAACUCAAUAGAAAAGCUAGUCCAUGUAAGUAAAAAUAAUUAACUAUUGAGAAGCAACUCAGACAAGAGUUAAACUCAAAACUAGUUGGUAAUUUAAACCCCGUAACUUUGUGAGGUCACGCAAACAAAGAUUGAUAAUUUCAUAUAGUAGUUAGUAAAUUUAAACCUUUAGUAAGAAAGGUAAAUAAAAGAUGGUAAGUAAUUAGAGAAGCUUUUUUUAGUUAAAGAUAAGAGAAGUUGGUAAUUUAAAAGAAAAUCCCAAAUAAACAUUGGUAGCUAACUCAAGUAGGUUAGUUAAAAGUAGGGAAUCGCUAAAAGUUUCUAAAAACAACCGGUAGAUUUAUAAAGUUUGUUAAGAAGGCAAACAAAAGAAGUGACUUAAUAAAAAUUUUAUAAAUAAAAAAUAAAUGAACUUUGAUAUAAGCAACUUCAAUGAGAGUUGGCAACGCUAGCCACUAGGUUACUUAAUUGGAGUGACAUGUUAGUAACUAAAAAUAUAUGGUAAUUGAUAAAACAUUGGUGGUAAACAGGAGAAGUUUUUUUUUUUUUUUAAUUUUUUUUGGUCAAUCACAAGGGAAAGUUUUAAUUGAAAAUAAACAAACAUCAAUAGCUAACUCAACUAAGUAUAUAUACUGCAAAUUUUGUUAAUGACUUGAUUGGAUAAUGUUGAGAAUCACUCCAAUUCCAAUUCCCAUUAGUAAUUUCUGAAAAAGGAGUUGGUAGAUUUAACAAGUGGAUAAAGGAGGCAAAUCAAAGUUGGUAACUCAUUGAAAAAGUGGAUAAUUUUUUUAGAAAAUUAAACAUUGGUAGGCAAUUCAAAUGAAACUUAGUAAAUCAAAGCUAUUCAAUAAUCUAAUGGGAGAACAACUGUUAACUCACACAAUUGAAGGUUGGUGAAGUCAUAUAAAAGUUGAUAAAUUUAAGUCAUCUAUAAGAGAGACAAAUAAACUUUGGUAAUAAUAAGAAAAUCUGAUAAAUUAAAGUAAGAUCAAAUAAAUAUUGGUAAGUAAUUCAAAUGAAAGAUGGAAAACCAAAACUAGUUGGUAAUUUGAUCGAAAAAAAAAGUUAAUAAGUCACUCAAAUAAAUAUUAAAAGAUUCAUAUAUUUGUUGGUAAAUAUUAACGAUCCAAACAAAAAGUUAGUGUAAACUGUUAAAAAGAGUUGGUAAUUUCAUGAAACUCUUGCUAAAUUACCAAUAAGUUACAUAAUAACAAGGGACUGGUAGCUUAUUCUACUUGUAUUUUUAUAUUCAUUAACUCUAUCAGAAAUCUACAAGCAAUGAACAAAAAUCAUUUUUUUAGCAGAACAAUAGAAUUGUCCUAAUUUACUUUUCAUCAUAAUUAUUUAAAAUAUAUAUAUACAUAACCAAAUCACUUAGUGGCUUGAGAAAUAAGAGGUUAACCCACUAAGCCAUGAGUAUUCUCAUAACUUGUAUUCCUAUUAUAAGGAUACCAAUUCAAUUAUAAAUCGUUUAUUUUUGUCAAUUAAGUCAUGAAUCUUGCCAAUAUCGUACUUUCAGUCAAUUUGAAUUAGAAAUUACUGACAUAGAUAUUGGUUGUCUUAUGUGACACGAUUGUCGCUGAUGUAGACAAUUUUAUAAUUUUGUUAGACUUUUUGAAUUUUUUUUAUUUUAUAUAUUCUUUUUCUUUCUUACUUUUCCUCUUUUUUUUCUUCUAAGUCCGAUGAGGGUCGUCGACUCUCACUUGCCAUAGAUCUAGCGAGGGCUACGAAGCCCUCCCCAAUCAUGGUCAAGGGUUGUUGGCCCUUGCUUGUGGUCAACGAGGGUUGAGUGGCCCUCAUAGUACUCGGUACAAAAAAAAAAAAAAGGAAAAGAAAGAAAGAAAAUAAAAAAAAAAUAAUAAAUUAUAAAAAUUGUCCACAUCAUAGUGUCAACAUCAACAAUUUUCAAUUAAAAUUGGCCAAAAUGACAACAUUAGUAAAUCAUCAAAAGUUUUAGGAUUCAAUUUACAAAAUUCAAAAGCUUAAAACUAAAUUGACAUAUGUACAAUAUGUUUAUGACAUUUUGGGUAAUUUUACUCAUUUACUAUUGAUAAUGCUUUGAAAAGUUCAUUUAAUAUCUUAUUAAUCUUUCAGAAUGAGAACGGAAAAAAAGAAGAAGAAUCGAUUGGUUUUAUUUUCCUUAAGGAUAGUUAAUUUUUUUUUUUGGUCAAUCAAACAUUAUGUAAAUCAAAUCAUUUUCAUGUAGACUCCUAGCAAGGUUUAGAUAACCAGGGAUAUUGGAGUUGGCAAUUGAUUAUCUAGACCUUGUUGUAAGGCAACCAGUCCAACAGAGUGCAUUUCACCCUCCCAUUUUCACCCAAGAGGUGAAAGGCGAUUAUACCUGCUUAUCUGACAGUAGCCAGAGUGUUUCCACCAUGAUGUGGAGUCUAUUUUCACAACUAAAGGGUCUCCUAAUACCCCUCUCUAUCUUUUUCUUCCCGAAGAGGAGGGAAUAUGGGAGUGAUAUUAUGGGGUCUUUCAUCUUAGGGUGAAUCUCUCGCCUAUUUCUUCCCCUUAAGUAUUUUAAGGACCCGCUUAGGUCCAAGUCUACUCUAUUUAGUAUCUCAUCAAAGUUGUUUUCUUUUCAUAAGUUCACGAGAAUAGAAUAUAUAUAAACAUUUAUGUAUGUAUGUAUGUAUGUAUGUAUGUAUGUAUGUAUGUAUGUAUGCACACGUAAUAUAUAUAAAAAUGGGUUUUCAUAAGCCUGGAAGAAUUUUAUACUAACGGUGGUCAUCUUUAAUGAACAGGAUAAGAAAAACGCUUUAAUGUCAACACAAGAAAGAAAUGAGGAGAAACCCUUUCUUGUGAGAAGGAAAAGACGAAGAAGAAGAUAAGAAUAAUCAAUCCAUUGCUUUCUAAUUUCCACUUACUUAUCUUAUGUUUAGUAUCCACUGAAUUUUAGAUGUUACUCAUUAUUAGAAUAUAAAACUAUUGAUCCAUUAUAUGACAUUUCAAUCUUGCAAGAGGGACAUAGUGAUGCCACUCAAAUUUGGCUUGAAAAAGAAAUGGAUAAAGUCAAAUAAUAUUCUUCAAAUACACAUGCUAUGACUAGAAUGUGAGACAUGUUAUUUCUAACAUCGAUAUCCGAAAUAGAAUACAAGCAAGAAGCUUUUAAUAAUUAUUUAUCAUAUAAAAAAUAAUUGAAUCGUCAAAACAAUAAUUCGAUUCUUUUUACUAAAUUAAUAUUGGAAAUCUAUAAAACCUAGAAAUCAAUUUCAGACAAUUGAACUUCUCAAGUUGUCUCUUGUUGAGAACAAAAGGUAUUUGUGCCAAAAUAUUAUAUGCUAAGAAAAAAAGAAAAUGCCUAGAACAUGGAAUUGAUCUUAAAGUACUAUUUCUAUAUCAUGGCAGGAGAUAUAAUUAUCAAAUCAAUGUUAAAUCUAUUGUAUAAAUACUAAUUUAGUCCUAAUUUAUUUAUUUAUUUUGCCAAUGUAAUUUUAAACCUUUGUGCGAAAUUUUGAAAUAGUUCUUCUGUCCAACUGCCGCCGAAAACUAUUGACGUCACACCUAGUCAUAUCCGGUCAUCCUACAUAGUAAAUGAUAGUGACGACUUUGCUCAAACAACAUCUUAUGUGGCAAUUGGCCAAAAGGCACUAUUUUGAAACUUUGCACAAAAGUUUAUGUUGACACUCGAAUUUUUAUAGAUGUUUUAAGUAUUCACUCAAUUUACAAGAUAUAAAAAAUAAAUAUAAUAAUAAGAAAACAAGAAAAUUAAACAAAAAGUAAUGGUAAUAAAAAAUAAAAAAGAGAUAUAAAACGAAGGAGACAAAAAAAAAUGGUAAUAAAAUUCGGAGCCCAUAUUCCUUAGCAAAUUUCGGACCUGCCGAGCCCGCGUAACCAGCCAAUUUCUCUUAUUUCGUUUAUGUCUUUCAAACUCACUUUCCUUGGUUCUUUCUUUGGUCACAUAAGCCCAUCAGAACUAAAAAGAAACAAAAAGCCCAGCCCAGCCUAGCCCAGCCCAGCCCAGCCUUUCCUCUGGCCUUGCUUCGGUAAGGACCAGCGUGCUUGGGGAGAAGAAAAGGAGAAGCGACCGCGGCGACACAGCAGAAAGACGGGAGCGUUCGGCCAUUGUUGAGGGAGGGGAGAGCAAGGAAGGUUCUGCAAAAAAGUGACAACCAGAGGGAAGGAGGGACAGCCAGGGGAAAAGUUCACUAGAGACGUGUAGCUCGCUCGACGGAGGACAGCUCGCUGGAAGCAGCCAAGGAGAAAGGAGAAAUCUGAGAGAACGAGAGAGUGCAUCCCGUUUAGGAGCGACGGAAAACCGCAUCGCCGGAGCUCGCCGUCGAUUUUCAGAGCUCCGGUCAAAGGCCAAUCCGCGAGUUGUUCUUCACAGUUGCUCUAACCAGACGAUCUUCAUCGUCGUCAAUCGAGACCUCGAUCCGCCAAACAAACCGGGAACAAUCUCGCUCCAAACGCUCUUCUCUGUCUCAGUUUUGGCCGAGAAAGAAAUGCUCGACUCGAUCGAUUUUCUUGAAAGAAUCUUUGAUAAAACGAAUUUUUGUAUUGUUGCUAAAAAUGGUGUUUUAAGUCUGUACGUAACGUGUGAAGCUGAGGAUCUCGUUAAAAUCAAAAUCAGAGAACUGUUGAAAGAUCUGCAUAUUGCACGUUUGAUCAAAAUGCCUAACAGAGGGCCGAAAGUUCAAUCACGUUUAAACUCAAGAUCGAUUCGUACUUGCUGCGUCAUUUGUUGAAUCAUGUCUAAUACUAGCAUUUUCUCUGUGUUUCUAUGCGAUUUGAUGAAAAAUCUUUGCUCGAGUCCAACGUGCAUGCAUAUAUCUCCAAUGCUGGAAAGCUUUCCGUCGGAGAAUUCCAUCGCACCCAGCGAAGUCAGCGUUUCAAGGGCAUAUUAGUUAAGCCCAUCUCGCUUCAUUCUAAUGUAAGUUUUCUUGUGAACUUGCUGGGGUUGCUGCUGUUAAAAAAGUGGAUUCGGUAGGAUGGUUUUUGUUAAGUUUUCGGAUAGAUGGAGUGGGCAGCCGGAGGUGGUCAAAGUGGGUCGGAAUAGACGAUCGGCGGUCGGAGAUAGGUCGGCGGUGAUCUAAGCUUUCGUGAUAAACUCGUCGGUGAUGAUAUUUGUUUCGUUAAAAAGGAAUAUAAAAAAAAAAAAAAAAUUUGGCCGCGAAAGGUGGAGUUGCAGGUUGAAGAUGGUGUUCGGGUAGAGGAUGUCGAGAGAGGAAGGGAGAAAUGCAGGCAGAACGAGACAAAAACAGGAAAAGACAAAAACAAAUUAAAUAAAAAAAGGCAAAUCAAUUAAAAAAUUCAAAAGAAUAUUAGAAAUCGGUUUUAAUCCGACGCGGGUCGGAUCCGGCUAUACGGCUCGGGUCAUAGAUUCGGAUCGGAUUAACGGUCCGAACCCAUUCGCUGAAUAGAAUAAAAUAAAAUAAAAUAAACAAAUUCUGAAAAAAUUCUAAAAAAAUUCAUAAAAGAUAUAAAAAUCCUAAAAAUCAAUAAACAAUAGGAAAUUCGAAGAUAUAGAAAAAUUCCGAAAAUUUUUAAAAGUUAUUGUUAUAAAAAAUCGAAGAAUAGAAAAUUCUUAAAUAACAAUAAAAAUAAAAAAGUUCAGAAAAAUUCCAAAAAUAUUUAAAGAUUCAAAAAAAAAAAUUCCACAUACAUAGAUUUUUAAUCUCGAAAAUAAAUAAAAUAAAUAAAUAAAUAUUAAAAAUUCAGAAAAAUCAUUAAAAAUUCAUAAAAUUCUAGAAAAUGAGAAAAAAUUCAGAAAAAUUUGCAAAUUAUUUAAAAAAUUAAAAUAUAAAAUUAGACAACCCUUUAGCACUUUACAAUAGGAUUUUUAUUUUGAAUUUCCCAACAAAUUUAUGAUUCUUGGUGUACUUAUGCUUUGGAUAUUCUAUUUUUAUUGUAAAUAUCGCAAAUUAUAAAAUUCUAAUUGUUGGUAUAAUAGAGAUAUUUAAAUUUUUUUCUGAUUUUCUAUAUUUAUUUUGGUUAUCUAUAUCUAAUUAGAUUUUUUUUAUCUCCUUAAUUAUUCAACUACUCUUUUUUAGAACAUCGAAAUUUACAUAAACUUCAUAUUAAUCUCUUCCGCAUCAUUAUUCUUAACUUAAAAAAAAAAACAAAACUCUAAAGUUUUUUCACCACAAACCGUUCAGCUUCUCUCUAACAUUUUCUCUCUUCAUCACUCACAUCGUUCACUGUAAGCUCAAGCUCAAAUGCUCUCUCUCCGUUCAUCUUUGCUUUCACCAAUGCCUGUGCCCAGUGAGUGACUCGCUGACUGUGGUUCGUCUCUGUUCAUUGGUGGUGUCAUUUACUAUGGUUUUUUCUAUGUUCUUUUCUUCUUUUUGGUUUGGCUUUUUUAUAACUAGGAAUUGGAGUGAUUUAGGUUCAUGACUCGUGAAUCAACUCGAUAUCCGUAAAAUGUAUUUGCUGAUUGUCAAUUGUGAUGUGAACCCGUUUGUUCUGAUUUGCUUUCCAUUGAUUCUUGCAUUUUUUCCUUGCCUUGGUUCCUUUUCUUUUUCUUGGUUUGCAAGUUUUAACAUCUGUUAUUUUACUGAUAGAUUCUAGUUUCCUACUUGAAUUAUGAGGUUUUACCCUGCUUUGUCUUCUUUCCAAUUCGUGUAGUAUACGUGAUUUGAGUUCCAAUUGCUGUUCAUACUAUGCCUCAGUCCCAUUGUUUAAUGUCCUAAGGAUUCAUUCCGAGUGAGGUUUUGAACUUCUAAGAGCUCUUUCUUUAGGAUUCCGUGUUGGGUUUCUCUUGGAGGGGUUUAAGUCUAUUUAUUCAUGGCUUUGCCUCUCUUAUUGUGGCCAUUUUCUGUUAUAUUUACGAUCUUAUUGGAUAUUCGUGUGACCUUUGCCUCCAGCAGAUGAAGAUAAUAGAUGAGCAUUUUAAUCGAGUUGUGAUCUCUUACUAAGAAUUGUUAAUAUUUUUUGUCUUGGUGAUUUUUAUCCAUGGGAAACACAAGACGCAUGGUCAUAUGCGUGGGUCCACGCGUAGUGCAGAUAAGUUGUGAAUUAGAAGAGAAGGUUGAAAAAUCACACAUGGGUGUUGAGCUACGUUCUAAUUCAGAGACUGAAACUAAGCAGCCUCAAGAAUAGACUACAAAUGUGAAUGCAUCAGGUAAGACCUACCUACAUAUAUUUUGUGUAAUUUUUCAUCAUACUAUACUAAAAUGGUCAGUGUAUUGAUCUCGUUUCAUAAUAUUAGAUAUGUCUUUCAAUAUUUAGAAUUUCUUGUCUAGUAGUUGCCACUAGAAAAAGGAAGCGCACCUUUAUGUGUCUAUCGGGCAUAUGGAAUCUUCCUCCUGGGAAACACGUUAUUGUCAAGUUAGGGAAGAAAAUGCAGCCCAUUGGAGGUUUGGGGAGUUUCUCAGAACCAUUGGUAGCGAAUUGGCACCAUUGUUUACAACUUGAAACGAAUUACCAUGGAUAUGAGAAACAUUAUGAUUAAGAUUGUAGAGAUCGUUAGGUUGUACUCAUAUGAAAUCCCAUUCAUGUUGUAAAUAAAUUUAACACGAUUAUUAAUAUUUCUUUGUUGUAGUCUACGCUUGAUUAUCUUCAUACCAGCUAUGGAAAAAUGGAUUCUACAUUCCUUGAAUUCUAAAUGGAGAUAUUGGAAAAGUGAUCUAAAAGCUGCUCGCUAUUAUAGCUCUCAAUCUUUAUCGUAUCAUUUGAAGAAUCUUUUGGAGAGAUUGAGAAGAGAUAGAUGGAAAAAUCUCGUCACUUUUUGAAGUUCAAAGGAAGGGAAGGUAUGAAUCUCGUUCCAGCAUUGUUUUAAUAUGACCGGUCAACAUUAAGUAGACUUUCAUCGCCCAUUAUUGACCAUUUUGUGAUGAACUUAUUAUUAUUAUUAUUUUUUUUUAUCGCAGAAGCUGAGCGAUGCAAAUAAGGCUGAUAGAGCAAAACAAAAGAUACAACACACCUUAGGGAAUAAAAGUUUGUCUAGAAUAACUGCAGCAAAGGUACUCUCAUGUUUUCCGUUAAAUUUUUGUGUUUCCCUAUAAGUGAUAUUUCCAUUUUGUAAUCAAUAACUUUUCUUUAAAAAUAUUCUGCUGUGGUGAUAUAUCAUUGGACCUAAGGUAAAGAUGUCCCGAGAUUUGUGACUUUUCCAACAAUAUGCGUUUUAAUAGUAGUUGUCGUAGGAAGAAAACAUAGGAUUUGUUCUAGAUUGCCUCCUUAAGAUUGUCCACGUUCUUAGCACCUGCAUUGAUAUCUUGUUAUUAUUCCCUUAGCUUUGUGAUUUGGAUUUGCUGGUGACAGCACAAUCAUCCACAACUUGCUUCAGGUUUAUCUAGAACGCAUAGUCCGCCAUCGUUAACAAAAGAGCUAUGCAGUAGCCAGAGCUGUAAAUUAACUUAUAGAUUAUGAAACCUAUACAAGUUUCUAUUAAUUUGCUAACAUGACUGCACUUUGUAUAUGAGAGUGAACGAAAAAACAGAAAACUACUGCAGCCCUAGAAUACCCAAUUACUAGCUGUGCCAUGUCACAUGUAUGCACACGUCCCCACAAUUGUUGAAAAGCCAUUCAAUAUAGUUCAUCUAGUGUUAACAAAUGUUAUGCAGUCUUGGCAAUGACAAUAUUGCUGCUGCAAUUUAUUAGGAAUUUAUACAGUUAUCUGAGCAGAAGAUGAAUGGACCAAGAAAAGAGGGUAGGCUGGAAUAAAUAGUAUAAAAUUAAAACCAAAAGUCUAACUUCCUAGUGUGUGUUUUCAUAUGGUUUUGGUAGAUGACAAGCCAUAUAACAAUCCGCAAGAAACACCUAUAAAAAUAAAGAAUGAGAUUACUUUUCAAUUUGAUAUCUCUGGACAUCUUUUCUUGUUUUACAGGAAAGUCAGUUAUGCUGACUAACCAAGUUCUGGCACAUGAUAGGAAGCAGAGUUAAGAAUUCAGCUUAAAAUUACUCGACAAUAAAUAGUAACAUCAUUAUUUUAUUUUAUGUUACCGAAUUGCAAGGAAGCAUGAAUGAUCUCAUAGAUCUAUAUUUGGAACUUGGAAAGAGCAAUCCCCCCAUGAAAUACUGUUUUUCUAGUGUUGGGAAAAAAGAAACCUGGUGUAUCUGAUGCUAGGGCAUAGUCCAUGCCUGAAUGAUUUGGGGCCUCAAAAUCUAGUUGUCUUCCAACCGAGAACUUAAGGUCAAAGAAAAAGAAGGAUGAAGAGAUUCACAUUUUGAAGAAAUAUAGUUGUCUUCCAUCCGAGAAAUGAAGGUCAGACAAUGAGAAAGAUGAAGAGAUUCACAAGUUGAAGGGAAUACUGAAAGCAACAAAAGAGCAAUUACAAAAGACAAAAUGGAGACGUGCAAGAGUUACGGGCUCAAAAAGAUGUCUACUAUUAUACAAAAUUGUUAGCAUGCGGCAGACUCAAAGUGGUAUCACGAGAUCUAGAUGAGGUAGUAUGUCAUGAGCCAUGAGGUGUGACUAAUUUCAUUGAAUGUUAAAAUAGUGAAAGGUGUUUUAUUUACUAAAUACUGAGUGACCUAGAUAUUGGACACUAAGGGGGUUUUAAAGGGAAUAUAGGUGGGAUAGACUUGAAACAUGAGUAUGGUAUCGGGAUCGCUUCAAUGGAGCUUGGAAGUGGAAUACAAAUUUAGCAUAUUGUUACUAUGUUUUUUUUUUUUUUUUUUUUUUUUUUUUUUUUUUUUUUUGCUGUGACUAAAUCAUGUUUUGGGUUUACUUCUCUUGCAUCAUGCCUUGUCCUUUUUGCUAAUUUUGAAGUACACAAGUGAUUGCCCUUAUCAGUCACUGCUGGGUGUUGCUCCUUUUUUUUUUUAAGGUCACUUCUGAGCUCUUUUGUCCUUCUCUGUAUAGAUCCUGGGGUGUUAUAGCAUCUUUUAUAUUGAAGAGAAGUUGAAAUGUUGCCUGUUUUGGCACUUGAGAGUGGUUGAGGGACACGGUCAAAUGCUUGGAAAUGGUCUAUGUUGAUGAAUGGGUUUAUCAGAUGACCUAAUACCAUAUGUUGAUGAACCUUACGCUACUCUAUUUUUGGCCCUCAAUGCAUUUCUUCUUCUUCUUGCUCUUAAAGGUUAGGCUUCUAUUUUCAUAAUCAAACUUCUCGAGUUUGCUGGGUUACAGCAAUGAUUGUGAUUUGUGAACUGGUUUACAGCCAUUCAAUAUUGGUUGUAGUGUUUAUAAGAUGCUUUGGCCACUCACAACUAUGUUUUUUGCAAUGAAGUGAAUGGAGCUCCUUUGUUCACGUCUCUGCAUUUUUUUCAAGUGACAGGAAAUGUGGCUUAUCAUGUCUUGCUCAUUCUGUUUUAACAAAUAAGCUUCUCUACGUUUUGAUAUGCUUUACAGAUUAGUUAUGAGCUCCUACGUUCAUUUAUUUUAUUACUUUCUGUGAUCUAAGCUUCCUCUACAUCCUUCUCCAAUCCAAAUUAUUGAAGGUUUAAUUGUGCGAUGUUCAACUAGCGAUCACUCUCAUGAUAGCUUGUGCUGAUUUCACACCCAUUAUGCUUAAUCCUCUUUCCUGCACUCAUUUGCUUUGCUGGAUGAUGACCAUCAUAACCCACAAUAGAGAUCUCCAAAAAUCAGUUUAUGCUCUCCAUUGUCGAGUCAUGAGCCACACUCUAAAAGAUGGGGUUGGUGUUACCUCCAAAGGUACAGUGAUCAUUGUAGAGCCCGCAUUCUAUUUAUUUUUUGUUAUAAAUGUCUUAGGUCUAGUAAAAAAAGAACAAAACAGCUUCUUGUGCCCGUUGUUGAAGAAAGCUCAUUAAAGAACUAGUAUAGUUCCCGCAUCUUCAAGAUAUGAUGAGGCUAGAAAAGAUUUUAUAGCGAUGAUAGGACCUCUUUCAUGUGCAGUCGAACAUUAUGUCCGAGCUAUAGCUGAAAUUGCUUUAGAAUGCGAAAAAGGAAAACACAGCAACAUAGUGUUUUUGUUGCAGUGAUUCUCUCUUGGACAUAGGGUGUCUAUCUCUCCCUCUCUGAACCUACCUUGUUUAAUUAUUCCUUUCUUGCAUUGGAAUAGUACAAAGAGCAAUCUAGAGAGUCCAAUAACUUAUGGAUGUCGGUGAAAAAUUGACCAUUGUCCUUCAGUACAUCUAGACAAUUUUUGGAUUGCGCCAAAAAGGCGAAAGCCCAUGCUUGAGAAGUUUUCGCCUUUUUGUUGUGAUUUGUGUAACGUGAUCAAAUGGAUGAUUCAGGGGUUUCAUGGCUGUUGCGUGACGGCUAAGCAAGUUGAGCGUCAUAACUCCUGAGCACGUCAAUUUGUUGUUUUUUGAAUCUUAUGACUUUGAUAAGUUAAUAGAUUUAGCUUUGAGAAGAUUUUGGAAUAAAGUACUCAACGGAGACGAGGAUUUCGCAUUAUUCAUCCGUUGAUGUUUCUUGGGUGGAUAUGUGAUGCGUUGUCCUGAAGGAUGUUGAGGACAUGAGGCGAUUCUCUUGUUCCGUUUCCGAUUAUUAGCAAAGCCAACAUCUUGGGAAUCAUCUAUAGCAUAAGAGCUAAAAACAAAGAUAAAAGUAAAUAGGCGUGCGCUAUGCAAACGCAACAGACCUGAAAGAGUUUGUCAUAUACAUUUAUUAGUCAACCUUUAUAAUGCAAUAUUUGCUUGUGGUUAUCUAACUAAUUUCGAUGACAUGUUACAGGUGUCAAAUGUUGUAGGUGUCAAAUUUUGUAAUACUACAUUCAUGUGGCUUGCAUGUUGUGUUAAUAAUUUAAAGGAUGUUAGAAAAAUGAAAGCAUGAUAUUACUUUUUUUUAAUUUUUUUAUGAGAACUAGAGAUGGAGUUCAAGUUUCACAUUGUGGUUUAGUUUCUUAGUUAUCAAUAAUUGAGUAGAAUCAACUUUAAUCUUGGACGCAUAUGCUAUAUAGAGUUGAGCUUGAGCAUGGGAUUGAGAAACAAAGUUUUGGCAUACUAACAGUACAAUAUCAAACCAUCAAUUUGAACUUAAACUUUGUAUCAACAAACUACUUCAAAUGAAUUUAUAGCUUGACUGCAAUUUUAUAGCUUUUUUUCCCCAAAUGAAGUACGUUUUCUUAGACACUUUUAGUUCAUUGACCAACUAAAUAAUAUGCUACGACAUUCCUUGCAUGCCGACAAGAAUGAUGCUAGUGGUCUUCAAAACUUCACCAAGCCUCUCCAACGUAUACAAGUCCCGUGAGAGCUUGAUUCCUGAAAAAUAUAAUCACCAUCAAUCUUUCGAGAAAAUUUCAAAAUAAAAUUAAGAUAAUCAAACUAUGUAGUCAAAUCAACCAAAAAUACAUGUGAACUUAUUUUUACUGUGUUUAAUAUAUUUGUCAAUGUAUACUAUUUAUAACAAAUAUAUAGAAGAUGUUAACUGCAUUCAUUGAGACUGAAAUACUCGAAAGGAUGCUGAUGAAAGUAAAAAAUAAUUGCAUUCAUUGAGAUUGAAAUAUUAGAAAUGAUCUAUAUAUAAUAGAAAAUGAUAUCAUGUGAAAAGAUACAUAAAUCUGGUGAGAUUCGUAUUGCGAUUAAAGGAAUGGGAUUAUAUGUGCAGAUUUAAUAUAUCACAUAAGUUUAUUUCUUGCACCACCAAAUGCAAACAAUUUAAUACUAAGCCAUUCACCCAAUCUUUGGCUUGUACCCUACUUGGUCCAUGAGAUUAGUAAGGUAUGAUAUGGGCUUGACAUCUUAUCUGCACAAGAUAAGUUUCUUGGAAGGAGAAACAAUAUCUUAUUACCAGAAAAUGGCCAGUUUAUUUAUAAAUCAAGUAGAUAAAGCCCCCUCCUCCUUUCCCCCCUUUCUAUCUAGUGCACUUAUGGAAGUAGGUCAAUGAAAUUUCAUUUAUGUGAAUUAACAUACGCAUAAAUACACUUUUUUUGUUUUUUUUAACGACUUUUAUGAAAACUGGUUUUGUUCUCAAUCUAGCUAAAUUAAGAAAUUUUUAUGUUCACAAUCGACUAAAUUAUAGUAGAAGAUAAAACUAAGACUCAACCUAGGCAUCAAAAGUUUAAUGAGUAGCAGAAAUAGACACUGUACCUGACAUGAAUCCUUCAUGACUAAAAGAAUGAAUUCCUAGAAGAUCGACUUCUUUAACUCCUAUUUGAAGUGGCUUUUAAUCGAAUGUAAAAAAUGGGGAAGGACACAGAAAUACAUCAUCCACCAAUUAAUAAAGUAUUUUAGGUCUAAAGUUUGAGAGUGAAAGGAGAUGUGACAAGUUUUUCCGACCUGCCUAUAUCUCCUUUCCUUCUUCGUUCAUUCUACUGGUAAGCGGCUGCUAUUCUUCGGUCACUCCUGGUGAGCAUCCGGUGCUGUGGGUAUCCUUCCAUUGGCUUCAUGAUCUCUAAUUGCAAUCAUCAUCAUCGUGUUAUCCACUGUUUUUUUAGCUCCAGUUCUGAUUUGCUUCAUAUAUCAUGAGACUAAACUAACGACACAAAAAAGAAAACCUGUCUUUCAUGGGCAGUUACAUAUCUCGCUCUGCAGCUCCUUGGCGAGGUUUGCAUGUCUGUGUUCCUCUUAUGUUCUUGUCUUUUGGUAGUCACUGAUGUAGCAUUUGGCGAGCUCUUCUAAUAGAUUCUCUCUCUUUCACGCGUGCAUAAUGCGGCCCACUAAGGAAUAGAAGUCCAAGAAUGUAAACAGAAUAAGAAACAUAAUUCAAAUUGUUCGCAGGAUGUGAAGGUUCUGGGAUGAAUAUUCUCUUCGUAGCAUUAUAAUAUUCCAAAAAGGGAGUUAAACCUCACCUUCGCAUGACUUGGGUUGUAACGUGGCCAAAACCUUGCACUUAAAUGUCACCAAUUUCUUCGAUGCUCUUGUGAUCAGGCUAUACAUGGUAAUGUCUGUGAAUUCAUUAUUCUUCUUGCAACAACAAAGUCCACUUCUUUUUAUACAGAUGCUGUUCUUUUUGCUUUGCAUUGUCUAUGUUAUAGUGAAGAAGCUCCUAGCAGAAUCCUGAUAUAACCGCGAUAGUCAACAGAUGUUUCUUCUGUUGCAUUCAUCCGUUGCUUGUGUUGCAUUUAGUAGAGCCUUCAGUUGCCAAAUCAAAGAAUGUUGGCCAGAAGAUUGAGGGCGUUGAUGUCUAAAUCAAGUGGUGUAACUCCUAAUGAGAUUGACUCAGAGCUUAAUUGCUAUUGUGUUCUUUGAUCACCAAUUCUCAUCACAAAAACAAAGUAGGAAUUGGUUUUAUGGUUGUAAUAAGUUGUGGAUUGAUCUGAAUACACCAGAUUGAGCUAAGGACAUGAUAAUCAACAUCCUUGAAAUGAACCAAGCAUUGUGCAAAUCCAGCCAAUCAAGGCACGAGGAGGUUAAUGUGAGCUAACUUCAACUGAAAUCAAGGCUCAAAGGGCCAAGUAUAGACAUUAAAAGGAGCAAUUGCAUGAGUAAAGAAAAAAAAUGAUAAUAUCAAUGGUCAUUUGUUCUAUUAAGGUGUUGUGUCAUUGUGCUGGUUGUGUCUAACACGAGAGUUGGUGGGAAGUUUCUAAGCCUUCCAUAGUUUAUUUAGGUGUGAGUGUGUGCAUCUGUGUCAGGUUGAACUACUGGAAGUCCUGCUUCCCUCGUCUUCAGUACGCUUGUUCCGGCUUCAUGCUUCGGACUUGCUUUACCACUGAAAACUAGAUAUUCUCAUGGAAAGCUGUUGGCUCUUUGGCAAUAUGACAGAAGCUUUCGUCGUUCUUACCAUUCUUACUAAAGAACUUCUAAUACCUUUUCAUUCUGUUACGAAAAAUCUAGUGAACUUAACAGCUUUGGCCUCUUGUAUAGUCUAAUAUAUCACCAGAUGUAAUGGCACAUGCUAAUCUUGAUUCUAGAAGAGGCGCCUGUGAAGCGAGACAAUGAAAUGCCAACCCCCUCGAGCGGAAAACAUUCCAACAUAAACAGUGAUUUAAAAUUUGACCCUGAAUGGUCAGGGCAGGACGAAUGAAAUGAAGUCUCAUUGUUUUCUUUUUCUUAACCCAACGGUUUAUCAGAGGUCUAAAUACUUGUGUACUUCCACACUAAAGACACUUAAAUACGUGAUUUUCAACAAUACUUCCACAUCUCUGCAUAUUUGCAGACCUGUAGGGAAUACUCGUUCUCGUGCUGAAUAUGUUAGUUUUUUUUCUCUUAUUGAAAUCAUCGAACAGGUGCAUAUGUACAGCUUGGGACUCCACUUUGCUUUUGUUAGGUCCCUUCGCUCGGAUUCGUGGUCAUCGGUUUCACAGCACUUUUGGGCGUGUCAGACACAGGCCCUCAUCCACAUUAGAAAGCAAUUUCCAUAAUGCUAUGCCAUUUUGUAGGAUUAACUCCAUGUAUCGAGUCACAUAGGCAAGCCACCUUUAGGCUUUUUAGGUAGGUCCACGAUAUAUUUUGCCAGCCUCGUCGAUCAGAAUGCCGAAAUCUUGGGUGAUUGAUUUGGAUAUAAAAGCAUUCCUACUUGAAUGUCAAGUCUUCUAGAAGUCCAUGAUAUGUAGAGCAUCCCAUGAAUCAAAUAAGAUGCAAAUUCAAAAUCUCAAAAAUUCGUUCAACUAUAAAUUUUUUCACACAGGAUGAUACAAAUGACUGAAUAACCAAAAACGACAUGACUUUCAAGCUCAGCAGCCUCAAAGCAUUCUAAUUAUAAAUUAGACAUACAGAAACCACUAAAAAUUUGAGAGUAACCCUUUUUCUCAGAAUCAAUUUCUCUCAACACAGACACGAAUUCCGUCCAAUAGAAAAAAGCCACACCAGCUGCCAAUGCAAUAACCAAAAGCAAAUCAUAAUGAAAGAACUAGAUGUACCUGGACACGAGUAGUGGCGUCCUGACCAGACACGAUGCCGUGCCUCAUCUGCUUCACCAUUGCCUGUCUCUUGUUCCUCAGCAGAUUUAUACUCACCACUGUCAUCUUCGCUGCCGUUUUGCUGUUCAUUCCCAAAACAAAAUAACAAAAAACUCUCCAUGAAUAUAACUACAAAAAGCCCUCACCUAUUAUUUGCUAUUUACCAGAACAUAGAAAAGUAAACGCCCCCAAAGUAAACCAAUUUCAUGUGGGGAUUUUAUGUUGCAUACCUUGUGAAUAGUGGCCAAGCGUUUGGUCUCUUCCUUGAUCUGACCCAGGUGAGAGAGGAUGCAGUCGCAGAUCUCCAUCUUCUUCCUCUUGAUCCCCUCCUCCUUGGCCCUGAAAGUGGACGGAGCAGCCCUCGACAUCUCCUUGUCCUCCCUCAACAGCGACGUGUUGCUGCUGAAGCUCAAGUUCCCCGACGAGCCCUGCAGGAUCAGCAGCAGCUGUUGCUGCCGCUGCCGCUGGGCCUGUUGCAAGGCCUGCUGCUCGUGCACCUGCAUCAAGAUCUUCUUCUUCUUCUCUCUGAUCUUCAAGCAACAGAAACCCCUGUGACCUCUGAUAAACCAAGUGUAUAAACUUCAGUACCGUCCCCACUGAUAAACCAAGAAUAUUCCACCAUCUUUGCUGUCUAAUACUAAUAAACCAAGUAUUUGAACUUCAGGACAGUCUGCACCAAAUGCAACCAAACCAAGUGUUCAAACUUCAGGCAUAUGGCUAGCCUACCGAUGGAAAUUUACCUCAAAUGGAGCCAGGAGUUCCUCCAUCUUCCCUGGUACGCACAUUUGUUCUUGUGCGCUGCUCUCUGCAUGCGAAACCAAUGAUGGGUGCCAAAACAUCGACGGGUCUGUUAAUGCAGCCGGCACACUCUCUUCCUCCUGCAAAAACAGGGGACAUUAACAAACCCAGGGCAUUGUAUUUCGCCAUUUUUGUGGCCUCACCAGAGGAGGGAUGCCUAAUUACCACAUGUUGGUCCUACUCAAAUUCGAUUUGACAAAGAAAUGAGUACACCAAUUUUAAGAUUCACAAACAAACGUAUUUUAUCCAGGUUUUUGUUUAAUUGCCUGAAGGGCUCCAAGCAACAAAUUUGGCAACAUGAAAGAAGAAAAAAGAAUACCGUCUUCCCUAAGUCGCCAUCUAAUGUUGAUUACUGUAACACUGCAAACAUGCUUUUUAACCCAUAGCAUGAAUGGUGCUGUGCCAGUAAAAGCUUCAGCACCUCAGAUCAGACUGUCCUUGAAAAUUGGCACUCCAAAAAUAGAUAGCACCUUGGAUCAUCAAAUCAUGUAGACCAGUUCAAGCUCUAAAUUGAAAAUAUCCCAAAUACAAUAUUAAAGAAAUCGCACAUUCAUUGGAUAUUCUGGAGAUUCUAAGUGAACAAAUAGCACUUGUAAGUAAAGAUGACACCUUUAUUUUGACUCCACAGGCCAAAAGAUGGAUUCAUAAUAAUUUGGAAUUGAGUUUACAGGAAAUUUCCAUGGGCGUUAUGCAUGAUAUUCAAGCCAAAUCCCCAAUCCUUUUAGCAUGUUUCCGAAGCAGAGAACCGCGAAAUUGAGCAUUAAAUAUAGUUGCUCCCACCUUAAUCAACCGAAACAAAAGCAUGCGAACAAUCUGUGUCCUUUUUCUGUUUUGCUUUGGACGAUCCUAUCUCUUAUUUUGCUAAGAUUAGUAAGAUCGCAACAACAUCCUGCGUUUGGGCAUAUACCCAUUGACAUCAUUCCCAAACUUCAGACCUAUUCAAUCCACAAGAGAAAACAACUCAAAUGAGUUCCCAUACCUCCUUCGGAAUGAAAGCAGAGUACAAGAAAGGAGAUUAAGCCGCCCGGCUUUGGACGAAGAGGACCCGACGUCGCCGUCGGCCUCAUCGAGCUCUUGCGCAAGGACUCGAUGUCGUCGCGCUCGAACGAAGAUGAAAUUUGGGGAUUCGGCGAAGAAGAAAAAGGACACUCAGAUGAAGAAGAGGAGGAUCGAUGAAUGAGAAGCGGACUCCAUGAACAAGAAGUACACUAUGGACGAGAAAGACUGAUGAAGAUGUGACGAGAACUUGAGAAGAAUACUCAAUCAUUGCGUUUGAAGGCUCGAAGCUCUAUGCCACGUAGGAGUGUGAAAAGAAUAAACAAAAAUUUUCAUUUAACUAAUUGAACAAAAUUAAUAAAAUGACUCGAUUAUACUAAAUUAACAAGUUUUAUUACUCGAUUGUAAUUUUUUGUAAGCUUUAGGACUUCUAAUAUAUUUAUCUCUUUAAUGUUCUAUCUACACUGUAAAUAUUGCAAAUCAUUAAAGUCAUUGUCAUAAUGAUUGGUAUUAAGGAAGAAAUGAAGAAAAAAAAAGUGCAGUAUAUUACGUAGAAAAAACGCUAAGUAAAACCAAUUGUUUCUUAUAAAAUGAGAGAAAAUUUUAAAUAAUAGGCUAUAAGCUAUUAUAUAUAUCCUAUAAAAUGAAGUUUUUCCGAAUAUUUGUGAUAAAAUCUGAACCUCUUACUGCAACUAUGUAACUUUCUCAUAUACAGAAAAAAGGAAAAGCUAGAAAAACGCAGAGAGAGAAAACAUCACAUGCGUUAACUGGUUUUUAAAGUAAGUGAGACCGAGACUUAUUGUAUGAUUGUUUCUUUUUUUAUUUUCCACAAUUAUUAUAAAUCUCCUUAUAGUUGAAUUUAUGUUUGUGGAUGGUCUUGCUGACUUAC
rnacentral:lncRNA from 1 species